AACGGCUCUGGUUGAGAGUCUCCCUCCUUUUCAGUCCGAUGCGUUUGAGCAGUAGUCGUUCCCAUCCUCUUGAUUUCCGAGUCUCGUGAAAGAAAUCCAAUGCGAAAAAGACAGCAACGACCUUCUGAUAGUUAGGAAAAAAAGGCAAUCCAUGUUCCGCCCUUCCUCUUUCGCUUGUUUUGGCUGUGAGUUCUUCUAUUGAAUCUGUUGCGAGAGCGUAUUCUCUUAUCUAAGCUUCCUCCCUUCGCUCCCCCCAUCGUAGAUGGUUCAGCCACACCCGGUGCCACGAAAUGAUUGAGAACUACGACGGGGUCGAAAUGCAUUUUGUUCUUUGUAUUAAAAAAGUAUUGCAUGACCGAAUAAUUCAAGGAGGGGCGCACAGCGGGGAGGGUCCUUUUUAGUAGAUGACUCGUCGGGCCGUCAUUUUCUAUCAGGAAGGCUAUGUCAUUUACAACCCCGGCAUAUUUCGGAUGCUUGAAGGCCCCGCUCACCCGAAGUGAUUUAGAAAAAUUCUUCUUUCUCGAUGAGAUUAGCACAUUUUUCCUUAUUUAGUACUGGUUUGUGAACUGCCUCUUCUCCCAAGGAAACUACUUUCUGGGUAUCGACCGUAAUAGGCAGAGGGCGCGGUAUAGGAAAGGAGUGGAUCAAAAGUAUCUGCGCAGAAAGAAGAGGAACAAAGGAAGGCGACAAGAAGGCCAAGCAUGCCCGACGAGUCAACUCUUUAAAAAGCUAAAAUAGAUGCCAACCGCACAUGAAUUGCAAGAAUGUGGUUAGUGAUUGAUUGUGAAAGCAACAAUUGAAUAGAAAAAUAAGUUGAAGGAGCUGUCAGCGAGAAAAUGUUGGAAUAAAGGGUCUUGGCAUGUAGUCUGGUCCAACCACAACGAUAGGGAUUGGAAUGAAAAGUGUUUGCGCCCACCUCACCAACCAUCUUGUCCCGAUACAUACCUUCCCCUAGCAAGAGAUCAUGGUCAGUUCUUUGUACAGCCCAUGGUAUGAUAUUUGUCGAGAAGAAAAGAAUGGCAGCCGUGUUAUCACAGUAGAUCACGGUUGUCUCAUAUGCAUGCUUAGUCACAUCAAGACAGAGAAGAUAAUUUCUCAGCCAUAUUGCUUCUUGAACUGCAGCCGUGCAUGCUAUAUAUUCUGAUUUCAUGGUAGACAAAGAGAAACAAUCUUCUUUCUUACUGCACCAAGAUAUUGAGCCUCCUUCAAGGAUAAACAUAUACCCUUGCCUUUUUUCGUCCAUCUUUAUCAGCAGAUCCCUCGGCAUCGCUGUAUCCAACUAAAUGAAAACUACCACCUUGGUAGCAUAAGGCGAGAUUCAUCGUACCACGUAGGUAACGAAGGAGACUCUUUACUGCCAUCCAAUGAAAAAUUCCGGGAUUGCUUUAGUAUCGACUCACCAUACACAUCUUCUACCUCAUCACUGUCAUCAUUUGCCGGUGCAGAUAAUGACACAUGCUCCUCAAGGAUAUCAACAGAACCAACCUUUUGUAGGUAGCAAAACAUCUCACUCAGUAACUAAAUUAGAGUUCGAUCUUUUACAUUUAUGUUGUCUUUUUGCAUUUAUGUUUCGAUCCGACAUCAGAUCUGAGUUAUUGUUCACUGACUAUAUCUUAGACCAUUGCGAUCUCUUUCUUUCACUUGGUUUUUCUGCCUUCCCUUCGGUACUCCUUAACUCGGAGAUACUCCUUCGGUACUACUUGGCUACUACUUGAACAGAUGGGUUUAGUCCCUUCCUUCGGGCAACGUUUUCUCCUGGUACCACCGGGUUGAAAGAAAUCCCUUACUAUUAGGACAUAGUGUUCGGUACGACUUAAGGCUACUGGAUUUACUUUCUUUAAUGUUGCAUCUGCUUUCAACUAUUUCAUAGCCUCCCGUCCCGAGCAAACGUCAAGAGCAGGGUGUUGAGCCAAAAAGUAAAAUCCAUAGAGUUGGGGACUAAAGAGACUCUUUUUUGACAGCCAACCAUGAAGAGAAGAGAGUCUCAGAGUAGAUUUGGUAAUGUUGAGUCGAUCUAGUAUGGAAAAUUCCUCGCUGUGCGCUCGCCUUUUGCCUGCUUCUGCUUCAUCUGCGGAUUCCUUCCCCAGAGUUCUUACUUAUAGGCUUUAUAGCCAAGCAGUCCAAUAGAAUAGCUGCUUCUUCUAAAGCGGAUUAGAGUGCGACGACCAAAGCUACGGAGCAGCCUCUACCGCUUUCCCCACUGUUCUGGUUGAACUAGGGCUUUGGCUGAGCGACCACCUUCUUCCAGUAUUCUUAGCUUACUGUCUGCUUCCUGCCUGAUCGGUGCUGACUGACUGUUCUUGCUUGUCUUGGGCCUGCUCUAGUUUUGGUGCAGCUAACUAAGGGUCGAAUUUCGUGACUUGAUGAAGAGGAAGCCGAGUAUCUUUGGUAUUGAAGAGUCAGGCCAAUCCAACCCGCUUGCUCCUGCCCAACUCAGUCUCAGUCGUACCAUAAUCCUGCCCAACUUUUCUUGCUCCAAGACCACCCUCUAGCCCUCAUGUCAAAUAGAUGAAAGAAUUGUAAACAAUCAUUCUCACUUUUGGCAUUGUUUGAUGUGUGGAAUACGUGAUGGUGUCACGCCCGGAAUUUCUAUCCAAAAUUCCAAACGCUUACAUGUGUGUGAACCCUCGUCCAGGAAUCAGCCGAGGCACACAAUAACAAAUUGAUAAUAGAGUACAAUUAUUACUCCAAUUAAUAGGCGAAUAAAAUGUCAUUACAGAGGUAGAUAGUUCCUCUCAAUCAAUAAAGAUCUAAGCAGCGGAAAAUAAAAUAAACGGCGCGGACGGCUCCACUCCACAAGCAGCUUGACUAAGACUACACCUAAUCCUCCACACCAUCAGCAUCAUUGUAGAACUCUUCCUCUGAUGAAUGAUUGCAAGGUGAGUAUAUGACAUACUCAGCAAGCCACGCAGCAAAUAUGCAAGUGCACAGGAUAACAAAGGAUGGCAUAGUAGGGUUUCAUUUGCAAAAGCAGCAUUUAGCAAACAUUUCAGAAUUUAAUAAAACAGUUAAGUAAUAAUUAAACAAUAUUAAUCCAACGCUAUACAACAUACCCUGUUGUAUAGGCCCAACCAUUCUGAACAACCAUCCCAGCUGCACAGUUCUAUCUCCAAACCAGGAAUAUACCAUUCCAAACCAGGAGCUAAACAAAUUAUUACCAGUUAUAGCAUCUUUUAUUAUGGUGAGAAGUGUGAAACUAAUCACGAAAGACAUUGUUAGACCUGCCCAUAACCGCGGGCGCGGCUAUUCGAAUAGUUUUACUCUGAUCAGAGGUGUACCACUGUACCCACAAGACACAACCCCACAUCAUGUCACCAUGUGCCUCAAUACCACCACGGUACCUCGGAAAGGAGUUGUGACAAUACCCCUUGCAUAACACAAUCCACUACAGCGCACCUUUCCUGGAUCAUAAUCACCCCCUUAAAAACAAGGCAUGGACUCCCCAGCGACCCCCGUGGGCUUAUCUCCGCCACUUCUCAGUCUGGUGCCCCGCAAUGAACCAUGCUAUACAAAAGAUAAAGUCGUUGCCCACGCUGGCUUGUGGUUGGCACGGUUAAUGUUUCACAACCGAAACUCGUGAACCGGUCCUUAAUUGUCAUGAGCACGACUCUCAAAACCAUGUGCUCACAACCCACAAUUAUCAAGUUUUAGUUGGCACAUUCAUUAAUUAACCAAUCACGAUUGGCCAUCGUGAACUAUCAUUAAGCCAUCAUUAAAUAAUAGUGAGUCAUAAGUUAUCCCAAUAAUGUGCUAAUGUUUCUAAGCAUGGCUAAGCAAUCACAUCUAAUAUCUAGCUGAACCAAUAUGUAAAGCUCAACUAGUCAAGUUAUAAUAACACAGGUAUCAAGGAAUAAAGUAAUCAAGAACAAAAGGGCUAUAACAAACAAUAGGUUAAUUCCACCCAAUGACAUUCGAAAAUAAAUGCAAUAUUUGAAUAGAAACAGUAGCUUUAAACGGGAUCAACAUGCUCAAAGGGUUGUUUGGGAUCUGUGUGACUUGCCUUACUGGCCUUGGAACUCUUCAAACUCUUCUCCUGCGAAAACGGACUCUCCGGAAACGACGGAAUCUAAGCAAAAAAGAGCAAAAUCACCAAAACAGCACAUAAACAAGCAUGAACAGUACAUGUGGAUAUUUUUAACAUGUAGAUCUCAAUUUUAGAAAAAAUUAGAGACUUGAACCAACUAAAACGGAGCUAAGAUGAAUUAGUUAUGAAUUUUUGAAGAUUAAAUCGGAUUAAAACACUUAAAUUGAUUUUAAUUGAAUUAUGACGCAAUAAUGAAUUAUUUUUGAAAAGGAAAAGGAGGAUUAUUGCGUCAGCGGGCUAGGGUUUCGGUGGACCGGGCGCACGGGCGACGGUUCACGCGAACGGACGGCCGGGAUCGAUCCAUCCAAAACGGACGGCCGAGAUCGAUCGGUCUACGACCGGCUCACGGAAGAGGGCGACGAUGACGUCAGCGAUGACGUCACCACCGGCGGCGGCGGCUCGGCGGCUCGGGCUUGCAUGCUCGCCGGCGAACGGCGGCGCUUCGGCACGAACGGAGAGCACCAACGGGUAGAGCGCGACGCGGCGAACUCACCGGUGACCAAAGGAGCAGCGGAAGAUCAACGGACGGUGACGGCGACGACGAAGAAACGGCGGCGGUCUUCGGGUCGACGGCGGCGAUGGUGCUCCGGCGAUCUUCGGCGACGGCGAAGGGGCGGACGAGGACGGCGACGCGACGACGACCACGACGGCGGUCUUCCCGAGCGACGGCGACGUCUGGAACGGUGGCGGCGCACAGCUGGAGCGACGGCGGCGACGGCGGCGCUAGGGCACACGGCGCUAGGGCGCUACGGACGACGAGAGGCGAAGGCGAAGGUGGCGGCGGGUAGAGAAGAGCUCGGGGGUCCUUUUAAAGGGGCUAGGAGGCGACGGCGAAGGCCCACGGCGGCUGGCGACGAGAAGGAAGGUUUAGGGUUCGGAGGAAAGAGACCGAUCCGAUUCGAACUCGAAUCAAACACAUUCCAAACCGAUUUAGCCGAUGUUUCCAAAGGAGAAAAGGUAGAGGAGAUCCCAAAGAUUGUUUCCCCUCAAUCAAUUUCACCGGAAACGAAAAGGAACGGCCGGAUUUUGGAAAGGAACGGCGGCGGCGCGAAACUAGGGUUUCGGGCGGCGGCGGCCGGAGGUUGACGACGACCCCACCUGUCAGCGGGCGGAUGCGCGCGCGCGCGGCGGUGGACUGGGCCGACUUGGGCCGAGGAGAGAGAGAGCGGUUUUGGGCCGACUUUCGGCCCAAAGCCAAAAGAAGACUUUUUAAAACCUUUUUCAAUUUAAAUUAUUCAUGAAAUGCAAUUCCAUUUAUUAAAAAUACUUCCUUAGCUCAAAUAAAUCCCAGAAAAAUCUAGGAAUUAUAGAAUUAAGCAAAGUAUUUAAUGAAAUUUUAUCUGGCCCCAUUUUAUAUUGGAAUUUAUUAAUUAAAAUUAGAUCUUCUCUUCAAGACUUUUAAAAUUAUUUCUAAAAAAUUCCAAUUAAACAACAAUUUAUAUAUUUUGAAUUUUCAGGGUGUGACAGAUGGACUAUGUGAUGGACUUUUGGCAUUGUGAUUUGUGCAAUUGGAACUGGUUUUAGUCUGUAUGAAACUGUGAAUUGUGAUUUGAAUUGCGAACUGUGAAUUGGUACAUUUGUGCAAUAUGGAUCUUCAUUUUGCAGGGAGGCAGAGGGCGGUGCUAGCCACCCUGGUGCCGCAGUUGGGGAGGGCGGCGCCAGCCAGUUGUCACGCCCGGAAAUAUACACCAUUUCCAAACGCUCAGUGCAUUAAUCCUCGUCCCAGGAGGCAAGGUACACAUAGACAUUGUUGAUUAUUACAAGCCACACUUGCGGAAGUGUAAAGGAAGUACUUUAUUACAUGGACGACUCAAGCCCUCGCACUCAAAGAUAAACAAAUAAAACAGCGGAAGACUACGGAACAGCAGCAGCCACAGGCACUCGACGGCGGAGUGAACUAGCCACACUUGCGGAAGUGUAAAGGAAGUACUUUAUUACAUGGACGACUCAAGCCCUCGCACUCAAAGAUAAACAAAUAAAACAGCGGAAGACUACGGAACAGCAGCAGCCACAGGCACUCGACGGCGGAGUGAACUAGAGAUCCAAGCCUUCAUCUUCCUCAGGUCCAUCCUCUGGAUUAUUUUUGUGAGCAAGAGUGAGUACCACCACCGUACUCAGCAAGUCACACCAGAAAUGCAACAAUAAUGCAUAGGGAGAAACAAGGAAAUGGCCUAAUAGGGUUUAUUUUGCAUAAAGCCAUAGUUUAAACAUUUUAAUCAGGUUAAAGCACAUUUUAAAACACGAUCCUAUUCUAAGCCAAUAUUAUAAUAUCACCAAGGUCGCAUGAGCCUGCGAACCUGCCUUAAUCUCCACAUGACUACACCAUCAUGAUUUCACCCACCCAAGGUUUUGUAAAACAGAACUAACUUUGGGUACACUGCUCAGCUUGCCCAUAACCGAGGGCGCGGCUAUUCGAAUAGUUUUUAACUUUGAUCAGAGGUGUACAACUUUACCCACAAGACACAACCUCAACACGCGUUGCCACGCGCCGGGUACCACCACGGUACUCGGAUAGAGGUCGUGACAAGACUAUCCAUCUAGGUCUACCCAAAAUAGGAGAACCUGCUGGGGUUUCGCCGCCCGCUGGUCCCCGACAAGGUAAAGGUUGUCGGAUCCCCCGGAUGAGACAGGCCCCCCCUUGCGCCGAGUGAAAAAACGGCCUUAAUCCUGGCUCCACACCCUUCCAACCAAUGGUCUCUGUUUUGAGAAGAUCUAAACUUCCAGUCAGGCCUUACCCACUAGACUUGUGGUUGCACGAAGAUGCCUUGCAAUAGAGGCCCGAAGACCGGUCCUUAUAUUAGCCGGGGUGCGACUACCAAAGUAACUAGCUUAGACCCUGAGCCCAACCCAAAAAUAUAUUUUAGUUGCACAAAGCAUUUUAUCACCACCUAUUGACAAACCCGUCAAUAGUCCAUAACUAAUCCAGUUUUAGUUGUUAACCACCAUAGUCUAGUUUAACCAAAAGUUCUAGGUUGGAACUAAGCAUAACUAAGCAUUUACCUAAAGCAACUAGUCAGUCCAUCAUGUAGGGUACUAGACUAGUCAAGUUAUAAUUUUACUAGGGUUCACAAAGAUCAUGGAUAUCAAAUCAACAUCAUGGCCAUAACCAAGAGCAUAGGAAUAACUAAUAAAACAUUAUUAAUAAUGAACGAUAUAAUUUAUAAAGCAAUGCAAUAUAAGUAAAACAACAUAAUUUUCACAAUAUGGGAUUCAACAUGUUCAAGGUAGAUAUGACUUGCCUUGAUCACUCACAAAGUCUUCGACGUCGACGGCGAUGAAGAGCCGAUCUUCCGGAACGGCAGGAUCUACACGACCAAUGCGAAGAAAUACAAAAAGGCUAAUAAAAACCAUAUGAACAGAAGCAAUAAACACAUAAAUGGGUUCUACUCAUUUUUAGGAGAAAUUAGAGAUUUGAACGGGUCGAUUCCGAGUUCAAACAGUCAAGAUAUGGCCAUUUGAAGUUUAUGUGCUGUUUAAAUGGAAAUUUGUAAUUUUGUGAAUUAUUUUUCUAAAGGAAAUUGAUUUAUUGCACAGAGAAGAGAGAGAGGGGUCCACGGGCGGGUCCUACUUGGCAGCCGCUCGGUACACCAUGAGGGCGGCUCACGGCGCACAAGCACGGCCGGGAAGGAGAAGCACCCGAGCCAGGCGGCACGCCGGCGACAGCCAACGGCGCGGCGACGGUGCGACGGAGUACGGGAAGGGGAAAAACGGAAAGGGGAGGAGACGACGGUUCGCACCGAGCAGACACGGCGGCGAGAGGUCGACGGUGUUGUCGGCAGUGAGGAAGAAACGGCGAGGAACUUCGGGUCGUCGGUGUCGUCGUCGUUCCCGCGGUCGUCAUGCUCCACGGAGGGGUGGACGGGGAAGAGGAGGAAGCGGCGAAGCGGAUGGUGGCGACGCCGGGCUCCGAUGAGGUCCCGACCACCGGCGAGGGGCGGCCGGAGUUGCGACGGCGGCGGCACAAGAAGAGAGCGGCACGUGGGCCGCGGAGAGAGGAGGGAGAGGGCGGCGGUGUGAGGGGAGAGAGGAGGGAGUCGGGGGUCCCUUUUAUAGGCCGGAGGGGAGGGAGAGAGACGCCGGGUAGGGAGAUCGACGCCGGCCAUGGUGGAGCUCACCAUUAAAGAACAUCAUCAAAAUCCACCACGAAUAAUGCGGGAUUGAGUGGGAAAUUAUGGGGAAAUUGGAGAGGAUGAGGUGGGAAUUAAUUCCCCUCAAUUAAUUUGAUGAAACGGCAAGUGGAGGAGGCGAAUCGGAGGUUGCCGUCGCUUGGAAUUCGGCCGGAGAGAGAGAGGAUGGCUGGAGGUUAGGGAUGACGAGUGGGACCCACCUGUCAUCGAGAGGGAGCACAGCUGUCUCUGGCUGGGCGCGCGGAGGAGGCAAAACAGACUUCGGACUUCGGUCUGCGGGAGGGGAGGAGCUGGGCUGGCCCAAGGAGAGGGAGGGGAGGGGAGAGAGGGAAGGAGAGGGGGCGGCUGGGCCAAGAGAGGGAGAGAUGGAGAGAUGGGCCAGAAGAGGCCCAAGAGGAGGAAGAGGACUUCUCUUAUAUUUUCCAUUUUAUAAAAUUCUUUAAUAGUUUUUGUUGCCUUAAAAAUAUUUAGGAUGCUCUGAAAAUUCAAGUAAAAAUUAGUUAAACAUUUUUAAGCAUGGGGAAUUUAUUAAAAAUACCCACAAGCCAAUUUGAUAUAAAUCUUGGUGAAUUUUAAUUGUUGGAAGCUCUUUUAGGCUUUUAAAAUUUCUAGAAAUGCAUUAAAGCACGAUUUAAAUUUAGGGCGAUUUUCAGGGCGUUACACCAGUGCCGCGAGGCAGAAGGGUUUCGGGGGGGAGGAGGGCGGCGCCAGCCACCCUGGCGCCGUGGUCCGUGAGGGCGCCGCCAGCCUCGGCCCAGAGGCAGAAGGUCCUCGGGUGGGGGAAGGGGGCAGCGCCAGGAUGGCUGGCACCGCGGUCUGGGGGGGGACGCCAGCCAUUGCCCGGAGACAGAAGAGACUUGGCGAAAAUUGGGGGGGAGAAAGUUGGUGGGGCCCGCAGAGGAGGGGUGCGCUAGACAAGCUAGCGCUGUGGUAUGAGGGGCGGCGCCAGGGUGGCUGGCGCCCCGCUCUGCCGAGUCAGCAAGUCCACGUAGGCCCUGGUGCCACGGUGGCACGGCCGCGGCGCUAUUGUGGCUGGCGCCGCUAUGUUGGAGGACGGCGCCAGCCUCUCUGGCGUCCCAAAAAGGACCAUUCCCGGUUUAAGUUUUUUCAGGGGUCUAUUUGUAAAAUAAAUUUUCAAAAAGGACCAAAAUGUAAAAAUUUCAGUGAUGAUAAUACCAAGCAUUUUUUCUGAACUCAUAGCCUGCAACAAAAAAAAAAUCCUCAUCAUUUACACCUAAAAGUUAACAACCACUUACACCUAAAGUUACUUCUACAGUAAGCAAAAUUACGUCAUAGAAAAAUAGUUUUCUAGUAUCUUCCUGAUGGAAUCUGAAGUUAAGCACAUUAAUUCCAUUCGCCCUAUAAAAACAUCUACUCUAAAACCAGUGACCUAUAAGUACAUCCAUUCCCUCUAACCCGAGCAAGCCUUCGUCCAUGGUGCUCUAUAAACAACUAACUACAAGCUAUGGUAUCAGGCUUCUCGACACUAAAAUAAAAAAAUUCAUGGACAAAAUUUUGACCAUGCAGGGUUCCUCGACCUAAUCCUGUGCAUGCAGCAAGUAAACACAUACUAAAUUAACACCAACAAUACAUAGCACAAAGGUAAUCCCUACUAAUUUUAAAGCAAAGUACUAAUUUGGGUCGAAUUCCAACACCAUGACAUCCACAUCCUAAUUUUUUGCACUAGAAAAUCACACAUAAUUGCACAGAGGCAUUCACGGAAUGCAUUUACAGAAAACUUAUCUAUAGGUCAUAUGACAAAAUCCCAAAAUCCGUGUGAAAAUCUCCAAAUGUGGUGCUGAAACCAAUUGAAAUCACAGACCAAAAAGGGAACCUCAGUGAUUUGCAUUAGACAAAAUUAGAAGUAAAAGGGAUGGAGAGAUAUGUGAGCACUAAUUUGACCUUAAACAUGUUUGUACGGCAACAGAGCACCGAACUAAAGUAGCCAACAGAAGAGCUCAAAGAGAUGAGACUACCUGAUUUGCACGAUGCGCUUCACUGCUCAGCCUAGCGCUCGCCAUGGUCGUCGCCCCUGCUAGAUCUCGCCUCAAGCCUGGUGACAACAACGAGGAAGACCUUGUGCUCACCGUCGCCCCUCUCCGCUCGGUGGAUGAGUCGCUGUCGCCUCCGCAGAAGCCAGCAGUCGCCGACACCGUCGCCGUCGAGGGAUUUGGGGGAGAAUCCGCAGCCUCUGCUUCUCUCUCUCUCAGACGCGACUCCCGAUUUCAAACAGUGAAGCGGGAUUGAGUGCGACGUUCAGUCUAAGAGCAGGUACAAUAGCAGGCUAUUAGCCAGCUAUAAACAUAUUUUAAUAAGAUAAACGAUGAGAGAGAAGAGCAGCGGGCUACAGAUAUGUAGCCAGCUGCAGCACGGACUCCAAGAUACACUGCGUGUAUGACAGGUGGGACCAUAUAUUAAUAGUAUAGUAAGCAGCUAUUGUAUGAAUUGGCUAUUAGAUUGGCUAUAGAUGAAUUAGAGCUAGUAGUGGGCUGUACUAUUAGACUUGUUCUAAGGCCUCUCACAGUGCAAGCCAUGGGGCCCGUACCCCUCGCCUAAAAAAUUGGCCCAGAGACACCCAUUCCAUAGUGCAAGCACAUCUAGUUGUGUGGUUUAAUUGAAUGGAGGCACUAGUAAAGGGUACCAAGCCCACAGUGGGCGUGACCCCAGACGCGUUACCACACAAUUAUUUCUCUCAACUACCCUCGCCUACUACUCGCGCGAGCCUUUUGCCUCCCCUCCUCGGCGCGACCGCCUCCUCCUCUCCUGCCACGCUCGCGCGCCUCCUCGCCUCCCACAAAACGGUGAGGUUGACGGUGCCGCCUCGUCGCAAGAAAUCGCGCGCACCGGCGAGCCUUUCCCCUCCCUCUCUGUCCCACGCUCUGCCUCUCUUCUCUCACGCGUGGGAGGAAGCGGGCUCGGGAGAAGGGCGGGAGCGGAUGGCGGCGAGGAGGAAGCGGGCGAGGGAGAAGGGCGGAAGCGGGCGGCGUCCCCGGUGGCCGGCGCCGGCUCUGCUUCUCUUCUCCUCCCUCCGGCAGCCACGGUUGCCGGCUCGCGCGGUGGCUGGCCCGGCAGCGGGAGACGUCCCCGACGGGAGCAACUGGCGCGGCGGCAACUAUGAUGAAGUCGGCGGCGGGAGGCGUCUCGGGCGGCGGUGGCGGCACCUUCUGGGCGGCCGGUUCUUGGCGGCGUGCGGCCGCCGGUUCUUGGCUUGGCUGCGCUUGAUCUAAUGAUGGAUUGGCUCCAACUCCGGUUAUUGAGUGUUGUUUUUGUGCAUGUGAGAUGUGUUGUUCAUUGGUUAAUAUGAGAUCUGGGGCCUGGAUUCCUCUUGUGUUCUUGGGACGGAUCGAGAUUUCUUUGUUUCUUUUGCUUCUUGGUGAUUCCUCUUGUGUUCUUGGGACGGAUCGAGUUCUUGCUUGGGGUGUUUCGGUGGCGGAAAGAAGGAAAUAGGUGCGGCGGGAGAGGAUUUUGGAGGGCAAAUCGAAGAUUUCACCAGGAGGUAUGGGCGCGAGGUCACGGGAGAGCGAGGCGACGCUGCCCACAGCGCGCGUGCCCGUGACUUUCGGCAACGCGCGCUCCCUCGCUUGGACCAGGUUCCACGCGGCUCUGCUUCGGGGCGAGGAGCUCAGCUAGGGCGCGCAUCUGUCGGGUCCCAAAACUAAUGAUUCGGAAACCGACAUGUUUAACUGUAUCAAGCCCUGGAUCAGUAGGUUGAUACAACUUCAAUAAUCUGGAUCGUCUUUGCAUAUGUUUAGACAUAGCUUUGAAGGAUAUAUAAAGUAAUAUGGUAUUUACGAGAUUGUGGCUAACUAUUACAGCAGAAGCUUUAGAAUGACCCAACUUUGCUGUUUUACUAUAGACUUAAACCAUCUAAAUAACUUAGACUUGAAGAUUAAGUUAAAAGGGAACUAACUUAUGUGAUUGAACUCCUGACUUCGGCAAGAACAUCAAAUGGACUCUUAAAAAGGAGGUUGAAGCAAGGGUGAGUACAACGUACUCAGCAAGCUAUUAUAUCAAAUAAUGAAUGCAUGAAAUAGUAUUUAAGUAGAUCUAGGUUUACUGGCUGAAAGCUGAGAAUAGAGAAAGAAAGCUUGGGAUGUCUUUAUGCAACAGUAUUUAGUAAAAUCUUGAAUUAAGUUUCUAACCAAAUACCAUGAGUCCUGAUACUCAAUCCGUGAGUAUGGCUAUUCGAAUAGAUUCAUUUUCACUUUACUGCAGUAAAUGUACGCUUUACCCGCAGUCCACGACUUGCCAAUAUUCAUUAGCUUAGUCGUAGCCCAGCCUUAGGUUAUUAACAAUAGUGGCCCCUGUUCCAUAAACUCUAGUCCCCAUGCGCUCUGAACGUAACGUUAUCAGCAGCGAGAGGAGUUCUGGUGUUCCCGAGGUUUUUAGAGAGAACUAGUUGAGAGACCCCACGUCAUCUCAACCAGGUUUCCAUAAAAUCACACACACAGCGAUCGUAAUAUAAUCAAGAUAUUUAUCUGCGCCUCGGUAAAUAUCACAUUUGCCCUUCGCGGCAUAAGUUUGCCUCCUUCGCGAGGACUUAGAUAAGAACCACUGUACAGAGAUACCACAUUGUUAAUUAACCUAAUAACUAGGUCUAUCCCCAUUCUAGAAGCUGCGGUCGUACUCGUUCGUUUGACAUAAGUAUUCGGUGGCAAUUAUAUCGAUCGAGACAGUACUAGCCACCCGGAAAUCAACCAAAUCUUACGUACUGUCCCAAUCGAAGUUCAUUAAAUUUUAUGCAUAUUCUAACUAAGCAUGGCUAAGCAAAAUCUAGCAUAUAUCUGGUUUGCUAUAUGUUCAGGUUAUGCAUUCAAAAUCAUGAAUGGCUAAUGCAUAGAAUAAAGCUAUAGAGUAUAGGAUAAUUAUACUCAAAGGAGAGGAAUAAUAACUUGCCUUGCUCCAACGCAAAUAAAUCCAAGAUAGGCAACCUGAUUAUCCGAUGCUCGAAAUACCACAGGUUGCCAUCCAGAAUAAAAUAGACUCUAUUAAAGAAGAGGAAUAACCAAAUUCAAUAAAAGCCAUAAAAUAGCAAGAAAAUGAUGAAAGGCGAGAAAAGCUAGGUUUGGGGUAUAACUAUCUCUUUAAUGGGUUAUUGAGAUAGUAUUUUAUGCGUAGGCUCUAGUUGGUUGGAGGCUAGGUUGAAGAGGGAAUCAAGAUUAGGCUUUGGUGGAAUAGUGGCUAGGGUUUAGUUGUUCUCGAGUCGAUGCUGAAAUAGGAUAGCAUAUCGGCUCGUAUUUCAUGUUUAAGCUAUGGGUAGUUGGAGGAUAAAUGGCUGGUAUGGAGUUUGAAUAGCAGGCUGGAUGGCUAGGGUUUCAUUUGAUUAAGCCGAUAUCGAGGUAGGAUAAACAUCGGCAAGGGUUUUGGGUAUUUGCUAGUCGUCAUUAGAAUUGGGUAGUAUGACGACUAAGUUUGGUAUCUUCUCUAGCCGAUAUCGUUGGACAAUAUAUCAGCUAGAGAAAUAGGAGGUGGGUGCAGGUUUAGUGGGGCGGAAGUGUUACUCCGGCAACCGUGGGUAGCGACGGAGCGGCUAGGAUUACACAGAGCUUAAAAGCUAACUGUGUGGUGUACAGUUGAGGUCGACUGAAUAGUGAAGCUCUGAACGUUAUACGCAUUGAGGCGUAAGGUGUUAGGAGCAACACUUCGACUUUAGAUUUGGGUUUUGUCUGACUUUACAACCAACGGUUCGACAUCGGGGGGUCAGUAGACCGUACGAACGUCCCCAUGGAAGGUGUAAAGUUUCAAACGGUGGUUGUUUAGUGGCAAAGGGUAAUUUGAGCUAAAAGAAGAUAUUUGAAAAGGUAAAUAUAAAUUCAAACGGUAUCAAAUAAAAUGAUCAAAUAGCAAAUUUGAUAUCAAAAUAUAGCUUUUGAAUUAAGAUGAAUUUAGGUCCAAAUUUCACCGGAAUCGGAUCUACGGUUUAGGAGAUAUGUGCUUCUAAAGGAUAGGAUUUGAAUUAACUAAGAAAAAUAUGAAAGGCUACUGUUGAUGGGCCCACCUGUCAGGGAGAUUCUUUUCUUUUCUUUUUCUCUUCUUCCUCCCGUCUUCUUCUUCCUUCUCUUCUUCUUCCCGUGCAACAGCAGAGAGAAAGAGAGAAGGGGCGCCGGUGCUCCGAUGGUGGAACGGCCUCGACGGCGGCGGCCAAGUGUGUUACCGGACAACGCGCACCCGGGGAAGUGGUCGCCCAGCGAAGGAGUUAGGAGAGGAGGCCGGAACGGCAAGUAGAAGAGCUUCUCUUCGGCUGCAAAGGAGGUGGUUAUGGUGGCUUGAUGGAGUGGAUAGGAAAGAGGGGAAAGGGGAAAAAUGGAAUCAUCUCGUCGAGGCGAACACGAUGGCGCGAGGGUUUGGCUUGCGAAGCUCUGGUGAGGGAGAUCGAGCGGUGGCACUAAUGGCCGGACAUGGCAAAAGAGAGAGAAAGAGAGCUCGAGUUGUAUGUAGAGAAGGGGGGAAAUGGCCGGCUAUUUAUAGGGGUGAAAGGCAGUUCGGAGGAGAAGGAUGAAUGGGUCACGGCGCCGAUGGAGUGGAGGAGAAGGAGACGGCGCCGGCUUCGUUUCCUUAGCGGCGACGGAAGGGAGUUUGCGGCGGCGUGCGCGUGCACGGCACGCGCGCUUGCGGGAGGAGGAGGGGCGGCUCAGCUAUGGGCCGACUUGGGCCGCGCGAGAGAGAAGAAGAAUUCGGCCCAAAGUUAAAAAGGAGGAAGUCUAAUUUUCCUAGAGAUUCAAAUAAUAGAUUUCGAGGAAUUUGGAUGGCUAGAUUUUGAAAAAGGAUUUGAAUAAUUUGAAUUUGAAGGAAAAUUGACUGAGAGAGAGUUUAGAAGGAAAUUAUAUUUGAAUAUAAUUUCCAAAAGAAAUAUUUCUCUAGUUGGUUUGAGUGCAAUGUUUUGGACAGGGAGUUUAUUUAAUGCACUCAAAUAGAAAUUCAAAAUAUUCAACACCAUAAAUAAUAUGGCUCUAGAUUUGAAUAUUUUUGAGUAUGUGGAGGGAAUAUGGUGGGAGUAGAGUAAAUAAAAUUUUAGCCCAAAAUAUGUGGUAUGAAAUUUAGAGAAUUAGAUAUGGGCUAAAUGAGGUUCUGGAUUUUGGACGGAGGGAUAAAGUCUAUUCUCUUAGCACAAGAGCAAUUAUUCAUAAUAUUUUUAAUAAUAUUAUUCGUGUGCCGAAGAGGAAAUCAAGCCACAGAGAUAAAAUUGGUGGUUAGAUCAAAAGGAGGAAUUUAGAUAGAAUCAAAGGAUGGGUUUAAGAUCAAAGGAUGGGCUAACAAUUAAUUCCAAUAAAAUUGGAAUUACUUUGGUUUAGGUUCUAGGACAAUAUGGGAAGGUUUCUUGGACCAUAAUUCAUAAUAGUAAAAAGGGUUUUUCACACUAAAUUUAAAUAAAGGAAGUUUUAGACGAAAGAAGGUUUUAGAUUAAAACCAAAUCAAGGAAUAUUUCAAGAUAAAUUUUAAAUGAAAAUCACAAGGGCUUUUGAAUAUCAAAGAGGAAUUUUAUGCAGGUUAGCUUUGGGAGGUCUCGCUAAUUAUAUUUUCCUAGGUUUAGGAAGUUAUUAAGAACAUAAGACCUGGCAUGAUGCAAGAUAAGAAAAUAGCUAAUUUUCGGUAUGUUACACCAUCCAUCUGCCAUGUGCGCGGAAAUCUCAGCUGGCAUGGUAUAGCACCGGUCCAGUUCACCGCACUGUGAGAGGCCUAAGUGGUCUCGUCUCUAUCCUUAUCCACGGAGACAGGUCUGGGAGGCCCGCACGGAUAGAUGCCACGACGAUGCAGGCAAUCGGAUGGCUCCAAAACGCGUCGCGAUAGAGCGAAACCGAGAGCGCUCUCGGUUUAGAUUUUGUGUAAUCAAAAACCUUUUUCACUAGAGGUCGGCGGGGGCAAGGUGAAGGUCGUCCGCAGCAGCAGCAAAGCGACGAGCGCGGUGGUGGCAGAACCAACAAGCGGGUGGCUGGAAGGUGUGUGUGUGAGAGAGAGAGAGGGAUCACGGAAGAGAAGAGGGGGGGGGGGAGAGGUGAGGAAGAGAAUAGGAUGAGGUGGGACGCUCUUGAUAAGUGGGGCUCUUGACGAGGGAUAAAACCGCCUCCAAAACUGUUCGGGGAGUCGAUUUGCAACGGUUUUAGGAGUUGGGGGGACAUGUUAUGCCCAGUUUUGUGGUUAAUGGAUGCGAUUCAACUAGGGGCAUGAGUUGAGGUAAGCAAAAUAGACUUAUUCCUUAUUCCUCUCAUCUCAUGAUUCAUGAAACAGAACGAAUUUGGGCCCAUCUACGGCCCAUACAUCCAACCUCUCCCUUCCUUCCUCUCCUAUAUCUAUAUCGAUCGAUCGAUCUCCACGGUGGCGGCUGGCUGGUCGGCGGACCCCAACGCGAGGGUGACGGCGGCGGCGGCGGAGGAGGAGGACGAGGAAGAGGAGGAGGAGAGGAGGUAGGAGGCUUUUGCUAUCUGCUAAUUCCUUCCUUCCUUUCUUCCAAUCUGAUUCAGUCCGAUCUAUUUCAAUUUUAUGGACUAGGGUUUGGGACUGAAUCCGCGCGUACCAUGGCGGAGCAGCAAGAGGACAGCUUUGAUCUUCCAUUGUUUGUGGAGGAGGAAGAUGAAGCAGGAGCGGCGGCGAAGCAGAGGCGGCGGGAGCAGAGCCAGAAGCCCCGGCGGCCUCGGGCGCCGUCGUUUCUGGACACGCCGGAGGUGAAGGAGAGGCGGGCGAGGAGCAGUGCUUUGGCGGCCAAGUAUUGGGAGCACGACCCCAAGACAGGAAUCAGCUACUACACCCGCGCCUGCUUCCGCGACCUCACCACCUUCGACCUCGACAAGGAGAGUAUGUAUACACCUCAACAAUAGUACCUAAUAACACAUUACUUCUAAGACUGUGGAUGAGGAUGAGCAUUCUAUAUUUAUUCAAAUUCUAGUCUAUAUUUAUUCAAAUUCUAGUCUAUAUUUAUUCAAAUUCUAGUAAAAGGUACUCCCUAUGUGGGCUACUGAUCUGUCGCCAUCAAAUUGUUCGCAGCUCUGAACCAUGUAAUUGCGAAAUCCAAUCAAACAUGCAGAGUGAAUGGCAGGCCAAUAAUUUUAAGUACAAAACAAUGCAACAACAAGCACAGAAACAGUGGCAUUCAUUAAGUGAUAAACAUUUUGUUCAACAAUCAAAGAUUAGACAAAUAUACCCUUAUCAUUCAAACCCUAUCAUGUCUCUGUUUGCUUGGGAGCUGUUGUUAGUGGCAUUAAGAUUAACUAGAUGGAAUCCUCACUAACUGGGGAAAUUUGAUUGUUCCACUCUUCACAGUGGUUCUUAAUCGUUUCCAGCUCCUUAUAUUUCAAUUGAUCACUUGCCACUCUGCCCACAAUGCAGUUGACUAUUUGCCACUUCUGGUCUGAAAUGGCCAUCUAUCCCCAUUCUUCCUCCCCUUCACCUCACCUCCCAUGCAGCAAUGGUGACAGUGAGCUUAAACUGCAAUGGUGACUGAGAAGAAGGAAUUUGAUUCGGUGGCACAAUUUCACCAUUUUCGGCUUCGGUAGUCAGUGGUAGUACCACCACCAGCAGCCAUGGACCAAUCCACCUGCUCAUUUCUAGGGGCCUUCUUUUCACAGUGAUUGCGAAUAAGCAGUGAAUUGUAUUUUUCCUUGAGGACCUUGCACUGGAGGGCCUAGACGCUGGUAGUGAGCUCUAGAUGCAGGUGCAGAGGCCUGAAAUGUUGAGUGCUCGAUCCAGGGUGGAGGAUGAGGAGGAACAUCACGGUGCUGUUGUCUGCCCACGCAUGCUACAGCUAGGGACACUAUGUCAGGGAUGAUGGGGAAUACUGGGAAGAGAUGUUGUAGUUUGCCACAGGUGGAUGAGAUGAGAUGCAAAUGAUCAAUUUUCUUGAUUGGAGGGCAGGUCAAAGUCAAACACAGUUAAGCUGUUAUAUGAUGAAUUAGAAAGCUCAUACUGUUUAGGCUUUGCUAAGAUAAGCAGGGAUUGGAAAGGAUUUAGUUCAGUUUCCUGACCAAUAUCAGAAUUUAACUUGCAUGCUGUAUGCUAUUGAACAUAUUCUCUCUCUCUCUCUCUCUCUCAGCCCAUAGAUCUCAUUGAGCAAAUGGACAGUUAUAUGGUUGGAAUUUGCUCAACAAUGGUUGAUUAAGAUUAGAAAUGGCCAAAUACUCUCUCAACUACAAUAAUUUGAUUUCUGAAACAGCUAAAAUAAUUUUCACUACGGUUGAUAUAUAUGCAGACGUAUGUCCUCUAGAGACUUUUGAACUCUAGAGUCUAGAGACAUUAUCUAGUGUAUACUUCUGUCGACAUACUAUUCUUCCCUGUUGCAAACUAACUCCAUUUUCGUUUUUCUCAGCGCAAUAUGGUCCAAUGCGCUUUACGGAUUCAAUUAUCAACAAGGACCACAUGUUGACUAGCUCGUUGAAUGUACUUUCUCUGAAGGUAAAAUCAUCAGAUGUUGGUUAUCCUAUCAAUCUAUAUGGGACUGUGAUAGUCAGAGAUGGAUUAGAUUUUAACUGCAUCUUCAUCUUCCGGCGCAAUAGGGACAAUUGCCAAGUUAUCCAGUCAGAGGUAUUGCUAAGUUCUCUUAAACACUACCAAUUUUCCCUAUUUCACAUGAUACAUUGAACUAAUUUCUUUACAGUUCUGUACAGUUAAAGGCAUACCAAAGCUAGCUACAUUUAAGUUGUCUAUAUGCAUCCACAGUACCCCUAGUUUCAUAUGAAAUACCAGUACUUAUUUUUAGUGGGCUUAAAUAUAACUAGGUAAUAUUAUGAGCCAUGUCAUUUAAAUAAUAACAUUAUAUUCUAUGGAUAAUGUCAUCACCUAUUUAUAUAUAUAGCAUUAGUGUGACUAGCUAACUUCUUGUGUAAUUUUUCUUGUAGAAUGAAAAUAUAAUUCUCACGGGCCCAACUAGAGGAAUUGUUUUCCAUGGUGAAAUCUUUUUUGAGAUAAAUUUGAAGAUUAAGGAAAAUGAAGAGUGCAAUGACAAAGAAUUUAGUAAAGGAUUGCUUGAGAUGAAGGUUUACACUCGUAAGUCUAUGAUUGUGAGUGAAACCUUGGAGAGUAGGCUCAGUGAGGUGGAGCUUGUAUCUGCUUCUGUUAAGGAAGCCUUGGAGGGCACUGUCGAGAUCAAUAUUCUGUCAGGGCCUGAAGUUUUUCAUGGAAAAAUUACUGCUUGCACAACAGAUGUUCCAAAUGAUAUUAUACUGUAUGAUAGUGAUGUUGAUGAUGCAACUACAGUGGGUGAUGACAGAGUUAUGCAACUGCUGCGACGUGUUGUAGUAGUAUCAGUAAAUGAGAUGUUGAUACUGAAUAUUGACGCCCAUAAUAUUCAUCCGAAUGAUAAUUUAUCCAGUCGCACUUUGAGGUUCACUCCAUUUACUAGAGGGUUGGAUGAGGAGGUGAUCAGCUGUGGUCUUUACAAGAUGCGGGUGAAAGUUGUUUGGUCAACCUUGAUGAUGGAUUAGAAUAUAUAGUUAAUUAAAUUCUCUACUGGGCAUCUUUUUACAGAUGAAUUAGAAUAUACUCUAUUGGGCCCUUGUUUUACAGAACUUGUAGCUAAUGCUAAACUUGGUGGUGUAAAUAAUCAACCUUUUAAACUAGAUAUUUUUAUCUUAAGAGAAGGAUUUUGGUAUGAAUUUGAAUGGAAGUUAUGAUUUAAAUUGGAUACUUGGACUUGGUAAAUUCGAAGGAACUUGUGGAAAGAUUUGAAGCUGAUAUCUUUUUUUUGAACAAAUUUGUAUUUUGAUCAAGAAAGAAUUUUGGAGUGAAAUAUGUAUGAUAUUUGGAUCUUUGAAUUCUUAAGGAUUGAUUAGCACCGAACUUUUCAUAGGUAAUUUUAGGAGGUUAUUUUCUUGAUUUUGAAUAUAAGAUUUUGGGAAGGAAUAUGGUACUAUUUGAAUAUCAUUUUGCACAGGUUUUGUUUGGGUAAUUUAUUCACUUUUAGCCAUACUAGUAAUGUGUCCUUGCAUUGUAAUGCCGCUCGCCCUUCCUCCUACACAUAUGAUAUGGCUGUGAACCUUUGCCUACAGGCGACGUGUGUGCCCGUUUCUAGUAGUGCAACAGCAAAACAAAGACAAGAUAAUCUGAAAAUUCACAGAAGAUGGGAGUCUUCCCAGUGGCCUCGGCAAUGUCGCAUAUGAGAUGUUCUUCAUCACACACACCAAAUGGAACUGUGCUACUCUGCUGUGGGAUACAAGAGCCCCCUCUAGAAUCAAAUUCUUCUUGUGGUUGGCAUUGAAAGAAAGAUUUUUCACGGUCGAUAACUUUCAGACCACAGGAUGGCCGCAUCAGAGCAACUGCUCCCUAUGUGCAUCAGAGGAUAAGGGGACUACCGGACUAGGAGUGUUUGGGAGGAUCUGCUACUGAUUUCCAGGAUGAGCAUAGUUGAUUUUUUUUUUCAUUCCAAUGUCUGAUAGUAUGUCCUUGGCUAAAACUUUCUUUAUGUUCGGUAAAUAUCAGACUCGUGCAUUCAGUUAUUACCGAGAUUACUUUGUCAUGGGAGUUUUCAAGUUGCAUCGACUCAUUGCAAUUGCAGCAAAACAAACUAGAGUUUGUUGUUAGCCUAUUACCAAUCGGUAGCAAUACAUUUUUACCUUUGUCAUAUGAUAGGUGAUAACCUAUUUUCUUUAAAGAAAUAUUGCAUGGAAGGCACUCAGACAGAUUAUUUUGUUGGGAAAAAAAUCGCAUUAGCUGCAGCCUAUUACUAAUGUAUUAUUGAUUGUUUUUGUGUUGCUCUGAGAAAAAAACCAAUUCCAUAUCCAUAAGGGACGAUGCUCUUGGUAUUGGAGCUUUUCUUGCAAUCAGCAGACAUAUGGAAGUUACAAAUAAACCAAAGUUAAAUUCAUAAUUUUGUUGAGCAAAUGUCCAAGAAAGAAAAUCACUUUAGGUUUCUAUAUUAUUACAAGAAAUUUCUAAAUUUUGAGGCACUGUGAAUAAUAUCAAGUUUUUAGUUAUGUGUACGUUGUAUUUGUCACCGUAGGAAUAUUUGAGGGGCAAUAUAUUUGUCAAGCUUAAAUAUUGAAUUUCAAUCCAUGUGCACUGGCUUCAAGGUAAACAUGAUUUAAGUUAUACAAUACAACUCUGUUAAUUAGUGUGAAAUCACAUCACUCAUGUUCUUUUGGGAUUAUUGGGAUCAAUUGUUUCCAGUGUGCAAGGCCUGCAAGCUAUGGUGCUUUAGGGUGCUGAGAUAUUGCACACCCCAUGAUAAUUUUCCUUCUUUCACACCCCAUGUUAUUAUGCCUGGACUUGCAUGAACACUGGAAGGCUGUCGUGUAAGGCCAUGUUGGUGCUCUGGAUUUUUACAAUUUAGUCUUUUUGAAAAACUUAUCCUAAAAUGAUCCUUUUUGGGCGCCAGAGUCGCUGGCGCCGUCGUCCAACGGAAUGGUGGUGCUGAGGUGGCAGGGGGAGCGCGCCAAUGUGGCUAGCGCCCCCCACAUUUUUUCCUCUCCUCUCUAGUGUAGAGGAGAGAGAGAGGUGCAACUUUUUGUUUUUUUUUACUUUUUUAUAUUUUUUCACACUUAUGAGCAUAAAAGAACCAACCAUAGAAAAAAAACUCAAAUGGACGAAACACAAUCUUGCACGCGGAAUUUAGAGAUUCUAAUUUUGUCGAACCCAGUAAAGCCAAGGAGAAUUGAAUGUAACUUUUUUCGUAGAUGUCCGUAGAUAUAUUAUUUGUCUGAUUCCGAGUCCGUAUGAGAAAGUUACGCCUGUUUUAAGAAAUGACACCCGCAUGUAAAAAAACAUAAACCCUAACUUUUUUUAUAGGAUGUAAAAGAUAUUAAAAAAAAGCUAAGAGUGUUCGAAAUCUAAUCUACUUUCUUUUGGGGGGACUAUAGGAAAAACCAAAACCAAAACAGGGAGAGAACGCCAUUUGAGUUUAGUUUUUCUACGGUUGGUUCUUAUGUGCUCCUAAGUGUAAAAAGAAUAUAAAAAAUAAAAAAAUAAGUUCCACAUUUCUCUCUCCUCUAUACUAGAGAGGAGAGGGAAAAAUAGGGGGGGGGGGGCACUCGCCAGCCACAUUGGCGCACUCCCCCGGCCACGGUGGCAGGAGGACGGCGCCAGCGACUCUGGCGUCCUUAAAAAGGACUAUUUCUGAGAUAAGUUUUUUCAGGGGUCUAUUUACGAAAUAAGUUUUUCAAAAAGGGCCAAAUUGUAAAAAAUCCAGUGUUGGUGCUAGCUCGGUCUUUCCAUAUGUUUUUAUUUUUGACAAAUACAUUUGAUAAUAAGAUGUUUGAAAUGAUCUACUCGGAAGGGCCAAUGGACUGGUGGAAGAAGAGAAGCAUCCUUUUCAAUUUGCCAUAUUGUGAGCAUUUUUAUUUUCAUCACAACCUUAACAUUAUAUCUAUUAUCUUGCAAAACAACAUUUUGUGUUGCACUUUCAGGUUGGUCAGAACAUGACACUAGUGGAGAAAUCAUCUUUACUCCCGGUUUAUAACCCCUCUAUAGUCCCAGUUUUCUAACCGAGAUUACGAAUCCGGUACUAAAGAUCGCUAUCUUUAGUCCCGGGUGAAAUAACCGGGAGUAAAGAUCGAUCUUUAGUCCCGGUUGGUGUUACCAACCCUCUCUUUAGUCCCGGUUACUGCUACCAACCGGGACUAAAGAGAGGAUAGGGGCAGUCCCGGUUAGUCCAUUUUCUUUUUAUUUUCUCCCAAAUCAAGUGGGAUGUAUAUACCCAGAUCAAACAACAAAUCUCUAAAUCGAGUGUCAUGCAUAUACCUAAAUCAAACCCCAAAUCCCCAAAUCAAAGUAACAUCACAAAUCAUUCACAUCACAAAUGCAAAUCCUAAGUUACUUACACACAAAUCAAAUACAUCACAAAUCUUAAAAAAAUUACACACAAAUCAAAUGUAUCACAGAUCAAUUAUACAUCUUAGAUCCAUGCAAUGAAUCACAAAUUCUAAAAAAGAAAUUAUACAUCUCUCAAUCACAAAUUAUAAAAAAAAUAGAGGAGAACCGGCGCGCUGCUGCCCCGUGCGCAGCCCCGCCACCCGCCGCGCGCUGUGCCUCGCCGUCCGGCCAUCGCGUGAGGGCGCGCUAGGCCGCCUCCGCCGCCGCCCGGCCGCCGCGUGAGGGCGCCUCCGCGCCGCCCGGCCGCCGCCGCCUAAGAAGUGGGGAGGAGAGGGGAGGGGGCAGAUCCAAAGGAGGUUGAGAAGUGGGGAGGAGAGGGAAGGGGGCAGAUCCAGAGGAGGUAGAGGAAGAGAUGGGAGGAGGAAGAGGAAGAGAUGGGGUGAGUGAGGAGAGGAGGAGAUAAAGAUCAGAACUUAUUAACUGAUCCACCCGUGCGCCUCAGUUCUCUCGAUCUCGCGUGGCGCAUGUCGAUCUUUUUUCCCGGUUGAUAACACCAACCGGGACUAAAAAUAGAUCUUUAGUCCCGGUUGGUGUCACCAACCGGGAAUAAAGAUAAAAGAGGGGUCUGACACCACCUGCCGUCUUUUGAACCGGGACUAAAAAUGAUCUUUAGUCUCAGUUGAUGUUACCAACCGGGACUAAAGAAUAUCUUUAGUCCCGGUUUUUAGUGGAACUGGGACUAUUGUGGAUUUCGGCCGACCGACCAAAGAUGGUUUCUCCACCAGUGUGACAAAUCAUUUCGCAUAUAGCUAUUUUCUCUCAUCAUCAACCUUCAAGUGAAGAAUAGAUGAAUUAAAUGGCAGUUGUUAUAUUUUAUGCUAAAUAGCAGUGACACAUGAUACAAGAUCCUAAGUUAAUUUAUUUAUUGAACCUACCAGGUGUUACAACAAUAUAUAUUGACGUAUUUUCAUUAAGAACAAAGCAAAUAUAUUAUUCAUCUAUUGUAAAUAUAUUGUUGUCAUUCUACUCAGGGAAUUUAAUUCCGAUAAAAAAAAUGAGGCUUUGUUUCUUCUCCAUUGCAAUGAUUUAUUUCUUGCCAACAUGGAUUCCAUGUGCACUAUUGUACCCCGAUUACAUGCUCUGAAGUGUGGUAUUUAUUUUUAUUUUCAACUUGAAUGGAAAUUAUAACAAAGCUUGAUUCCUAUCUAAAAUGAAAAUGUACUGCCUUAUUUGUGUAUUGAAUCCCGUAAAACCAAUAUUUUGCGGACACAUCUCAGUGGUUGUGUAAACUUUAUAGAGCGAUUUUACAGUACAUGAGGUUGAGGAGGUAUUAGGAGGUGUCAUAUAUUUUCUAAUAUAAAAUUUGAUACCUCUUACUACCUCCAGUACUACUGAGAGGUACCAAAUUUACACUAAAAAUUUGGGUACCUCUCAAGGGCUCUAAAAUUUCUCAACUUUAUAACUAUAUCUCGUACUGUGCUAAUUGCCAAAAUAUAUUUUGGACCACUGUCUUUUGGGUGUUUUGCUUGUAAUACCGGUUAUGGAUAAGGCAUACCCUCUAUCCUACGACUUAUGGAAUACACCGAUAAGGUAUACCUUCACGUAUACGGUUGGUUUCCGUAUACGUCGUUAGGAAUUCGCCUCAAAUUAUGGAAAAUAUCUCCACGAAGUUAAGGAAUUGCAGAAGUCCUACUCGGAAAGGGUAAAAUCUCCAGUAUAUCGUGUCGGUUUACAUAUCUUCAAGUCUUACUUGAGGGUCAAGGUAUCCCACGAUAUAAAAGGGACCCCUAGGGAGAGUCAAAGGGCAUCGCAUCUCAUCGCCAACACUCCCACCAAAGUUUAUGAAGCCGGAGUCCCCGGAGCCAACUCGCUGGGAGAUCUCGUCGAAUUCCUCGACUACGGUCUCAUCGGCAUCGCCAAUUCGGUUACUCUCUUUGUAAUCUGUUCUCAUCAUCAUUGAUCCCAUAUAAACUGGACUAGGGCUAUUACCUGAUAAGGGGCCUGAACCAGUAUAAUCCUUGUCUUUUGUCUGUUUUGAUGUCGUACUACGUAGAUCCCUGUUCCAACGUACCCCAAUACCCUAUUCUUCCGGUCCGCGAGUAUCACUCGUGACAGUGGAGCGCUAGGUAGGGGGACUUGGUGCUCAAGGAUCCACCAGUAUGACUUCAAGACUCCCCGACAAUAGCCUCGUUACCAGCGCCAAUCAAGGAGUUUCUACCUCGACACCGCUGGUGUGGACUCAAGUCGGAUCUAUUGUCGUUCCGAUCUACAUCGUUACACCAAUCUCGACUGGCCCAAUCGUCAUCGGGAACGAGAAAGGUACGGCUACGACUGAGAGAAACAAUGCCCCGCCGACAAUUCCUCCCACUCCGGUGGAGAAUGGAACAUCGACAGCCCCAACACCUGGGAGGAACCCUCAAGCGGCUGAGUUUCACCCCUCGUGUGAAAAAUCGAAGCCGACAAGGACAACCACCCUGAAACCGAGAACUUGGUGUCCCAUACAUAAGACAACCAAGCAUGCUCUCGAGGACUGCCCGGUGAUACUCCACGUGCAAGCUGAACUCUACGCCUGUUGGGAACGGGGGAUACAACGCACUUCACCAACGAGUACCACCUACUGUCCGAUCCACAGAUCUAGAGUGCAUGAUCUCACCAACUGCAGGGUCUUCCUCAGGACCCUCAAACCAGCGCAUCAUCGCGUCCAGCGGCCACGAAUUCAAACUCCGUGUGUUGCCAAGGAACCAGAUGCGGCUCCGGUCCUGGAUCGGUUUGUUGGAUUUGUCGACGCAAACAAGCCAUCCGUGUUACACCUCUUAGAAGGCUACGAGUCCUCCUCGCAGUCGCCUAGAGAUGUAAACGUGGUUGACAACACUGAGACGAGCUCGUCCGCCGCUGCGAGAACACCAGCUCAUCAGUUGCGGAACCUGGACGCGAUAUUGAGGGAAGGCCCUUUUGAUCCGGUAACAAACCUAGACACCAGCAGAUGGGCAGAGUGGCUACGUGAGACCGUGACCAACCUCAACACCGCGUUUGCUGAAGCCGCAGGUGGCCCAGAGCCGAACAGAGAUAGAGAGCGACUUACCGGAGAUGCAGAGGAUGAAAACCCCGACGGAAGGCCUACCGGCAACCGCUCCCCUCCAAGACGUGACCCUACACCACCGCACUGUGAAGAUGGCGACCUUCGCGAACAUCUAAACGGACGUCGGCGUAACAGGAGGGAACGCAACGAGAACGAGCGCCGCCAACAUCGUUCUCCUCAUCGUGAGGAUGGCAAUCCGCACCGACAGCAUCGUCCUCACUCCCCAUCUUAACGAGAGCGGGACGAUGGCCGAAGGAACAUCUCCAACAGGAAUCGUGAUCGUCGAACUCGUGACGACCGACGCGAUGACAACGACCGGGAUCGGGACAACUGUCCCCGGAGACAAGAAAGGAAUAACGACGAAUGACGAGAUCGAAACUCCAAAUCUCCUCAUCCGAGUCGAGAUCGUGGACGUGAUCAUCGUUCGAGAAGUCGGGCUCCUGAUCCAAGCGAUCCCUCAUCUUCGUCUUCAUCGUCCUCUUCGGAUCGACCUCCACAAAGGCAUCGCGAUCGUGGGCCAUGCCCUGUCCCAGGCAAUGGAUGCAGGGCAUUCACACCCGCACUUCACAACGUGCGGUGGCCCGAGAAGUUCUGACCGGGAUCGAUCGGGAAAUAUGAUGGAAGUACAGACCCAGAAGAAUUUCUGCAAGUCUACUCCACAGUUUUCUAUGCCGCUGGCGCAGACGACAACGUCCUGGCAAAUUAUUUGCCGGCCGCGCUGAAAGGCUCUGCCCGGUCAUGGUUUGUCACGCCCAGAAAUUAAGCCCUAAAUUUUUAGACUAUUUUGUGUAUUAAAUCCCUAUCCAGGACUAGCCAGGGUACACAAAACGACAAGUAAUAUACAGUUCCAAACGUAAAUAAAGCAUAAAAUACUUACAGAAUAGGCUCUUAGUCCUCACACUGAAAAGAAAGCAGCAGCAGCGGAAAAGGCGAUCCUAGAGGGGCUUCAGCUCCACUCCACAGGCAAAACUCAACUGGUGUCUGAGCCUUGAUCCUCUAACUUUGUCUUCAGCUCAGAAGCACUACACUUCUGAAAAGGGAGAACAAUAGCAAGGCUGAGUACAACCACCAUACUCAGCAAGCCACACCAACGAUGCAGAUGUGCAAGGGGAUUCAAGAAUGGCUUGUGGCUAUUUGCAGAAAGGUUGUUGUAAAACAUUUUAUUGAGCAAAACGGUAGAACUGUUGAGUAAUUAAGGUAAUAUUAAAUCUCCACUGAUCAACGCUACACUACGUUGAGCAGGCCCAACCAAUCCACCUGAACUACAGUGCAUUGGGCCGAUUUAUUAAGUGUGAGACUAAUCACGGUGAAUCCGGUCGAUCGCCCAUAACUGCGGCCAUGGCUAUUCGAAUAGUUUUACUCUAGCCAUAGGUGCACAACUGUACCCACAAGACACAAUCCACCGGCAUGUCACCGUGCCUGUGCAGGCACGUCACCAUGUCGAGUGAUUAUGACCAGACUCUCCGCAUAACUCUCCCCUAACCAUCCACACCACGCUAAGCUUUCACCCCCACCCCCUACCCCGGAGGUGGGCAGUCCCCUCGUGCGCCGCGGUGAGUCCGGCAGCUGGACAACCGGACACCCCGACCGACCCAACUCCAUCAUGCCCACCCUCACCACCGGUGCCUAGGAAAGGGUCGAGCUAUACUUCAAAUCAAGCAGUUACCCACUCCCGCUUGUGGUAAGCACUAUAAGUCUUGCAGGGUUUCUCGUGAACCGGUCCUUAAUUGCCAUGGGUGCGACCCGCAAAACCAUGCACCCAUAGCCCACCAUUCAGUCGCAUUUUAGUUGGAUAAUUAUGACCACGAAACAUGGCCAGAUGUCUCGAGCACGCAGCUCAUCAAGAUACUAGAAGGUCUAAUACUGCAAUUAUCCCAUCAACUGAGCUAGCGUUAAUUAAGCAUGGCUAAGCAAAUAAUUCUAGCUAGGUCACAUAAGUAACACGAGCUAGUCGAUUUAUCACCCAAGGUUGACAAAGGACAGAUAUCAAGUAAAUAUGGCACAAGCGAGCAGAUAGGUAAUACCCGGAUCGCAUGUAAUUAGCAAAACAUGCAUAUUUAUUUGCAAACGGUAAAACAUUUGUAAAAUAGGCUCAAUAUGCUCAAGGGGAAUGUGUGACGCCUUGCUUCUUCAAACAAUCUUCCGAACUCUUUUCCUUGCGACCGCGAUCUUCCAAAAUGGCGGAAACUACACACUGGCACGCAAAAUGAGGAAAAACUCUAAUAAAACCAAAGAAACAGUACAUAAAAAUUAAAUAAAUAUGUAGAUCUCAAUUUUAGAUGAAUUUUGCAAGUUGAAUGGCCCAAUUUGGAGUUCGAAUGAGUUAGAUAUGAAUUUUAUAAGUUUUGAGCCAUUAAAUGAAUUUCUAGAAUUAUUAAUGAUUUAUUGCGCAAUUAUUAAUUGUUUUCUCAAGGGAUAAGAUCAUCGCUGAUGUCAUCAAAGGGGGGAGGCUGGCGCCGACACGCGGGCCCCACACGUCAGCGGCUCCAAAGGGAGGACACACGGUGGACUCGGUCCACCGCGGCCUGGGCGGCACCGUGGACCCGGACCACGGGAGUGGUCCACGGGCGGCGACACAGAGCGGCCAGGGGCGGCGGCGGCUCACGACCGGAUGUGGCCUCUGGCGACAACACCGGCGACAUGACGCGACGCGGUGGCGGGCAUGGGAGGCUGCCGCCGAAGGAGAGAAAGGGGAGAUGGAGGGGACUGCUCACCAUGCGUCGGGGCGGCGGGGGCAACGGGCGGCGGCGGCGCUCCCUCGGGAAAGGUGGUAGCGGAGGUCCGACGGCGACCCAUGAGCACGAAGCGGCGGACGGCGGCCGGGAUUCCCUGGGGAAGAAGAUAGAAGGGUUAGGGAGGAACAUAGGUGAUCGGAGCGGUGAGAAUACCACGCCGGAUAGGAGAGGAAUGGUGGAGCUCACCGGCGACCGAGAGAUGCCGAGCUUCGGUGUGAUUUCGGUGGCUUGGAACGGCAGCCGAGGUGCGGUGGGGCGUGGCAGCGCUGUGGGUGGCGGCGGCAUGGCCGGGCAAGGCGACGCUCGCCGGCGGGAGGCGGCAGUGGCUCGGGUUGGUGGUGGCGACGGGGUUUUGGCGGUGGUUUGGGGAGGGGAAGUGGUGGCCGGGCUUUGGCUCGGCGCAGAGGAGCCAGUGGUGGCAGUGGCGCGGUGCGGCGGUGGCUAUGGCGGCGGUAGCGCGCGGCUAGAGUUCGCCGGAAAGUAGCAGAAGUGGGGGACGGUGUGGGAAGAGCGAGGGAGGCGAUGGGAAGCUCGGGGGUGGAGAGGAAACGGUAGAGGAGAGCCGGACGAUGCUUUAUAUGGGCGUGGGGGAGGGAAAUUGUGGCCGAGAGGGCGGAAUCGGGUGGCAACGGCCGGCGACAUGGGCGACAUCAUGGGCGAAGUGGAGCUCGAACCCGACACGAUUUUUGGGGGAAAUGUGGGGAGAGUGCAGAGGAGGUGGAGGGGAACCAAUUUCAUGCAGUUUGGGCGCGAGGACGCGAGCGGGAGUACAAAGGCGCGUCAUGGCGGCUUUGGUUCUGGACGCCGAAGAUAGAAGGAGGAGCUGACAGGUGGGGUCGCCAGGCCCACCUGUCGGCGAGGGAGGGAGGAGGUGAUGGUUGAGGGAGGCGAAGUGAACUUUGCAAGGGGACGGGCCUUGGGGGCCAAGAAGGGAGGAGAGAGGAGGGAGGCCGGCCUGAGGGGGAGGAAACUUGGGCCGGAAACGGCCCAAAGCAAAGAAUGAGGAUUUUAAUUCGUUUUCUUUUUUAUUUAAUUGGUUUAAUGAACUUUGUAUUAUUAUAAUUACUUCUUGAGCUCCGAAAAUUCACGGGAAAAUUUCAGAGAAUAUUUUAGGGCGCAAAGAAUAUUACAAAAUAUUCCCGGCCAUGAUUUUUAAAGGAAAUUUUUAAUUCCCUCAAUAAUUUCACUUGAUUAAAUUGCUUUAACUUUUAUUUAAUUUCUAGAAAAGCAUUAUUAAAUGAUUUUUAAUCCCGAACGAAAAUCAGGGCAUUACAUGGUUCGUCCAUCUCCCGCCAAACUCAAUCUGUUCAUGGGAAGAUUUAUGGCAGCAAUUCGUCGCCAACUUCCAAGGGACUUACAAGCGCCACGCGAUCGAGGACGACCUACAUGCACUAACCCAGAACCCAGGCGAAUCAUUGCGGGACUAUAUUCUGCGCUUCAAUGAGUGCAGAAAUACGAUCCUCGAGAUCACCGACGCUUCUGUCAUUCGAGCAUUCAAGUCUGGCGUCCGAGAUCGGUACACCACCCAAGAGUUGGCAACGCGCCGGAUCACAUCCACGCAGACGACACUCUGAGACGCAAGGAGGGAAAGAGCAAAGCGGGAGACGAGAAGAAGAAGUCGACUGAUAAAGACGCACCAGAGUCAAGCAAGAAGAGAAGUCGCAAAAGCGGGAAGCGCAAGUCUUCUGGAGAGGUCCUUGCCGCAGAGCAAGUAGAACCGUCCAGGCGCUCCAACCCUCAGGGCGACGACUCUCGCAAGCCAUGGUGCCCAAUCCACAUGACAAGCAAUCACGCCUUGGAAGAUUGCUACGUCAUCAAAAAGGAGCUCACGAAACAACUAGCAAUCGAAAGAGGAAAGCGAGUACGGAGACUGCAAAAGAAGCCACCACCGACAACUCUAACUCCGCCUUCCCGGAGUAUGAUUUGCAUGUUUCCCACAUCUUCGGUGGAUCCACUUUGUACACCUCUAAGAGGGAGUACAAGAAAGCGGAACGCGAAGUUUGCUCCACUUCACAGGCGACUACCACCAAGAUGAAGUGGUCGCAGCACAAGAUCGAGUUCUCGGAAGCCGACCACCCCAAGACCGUGACUUGUCACGCCCGGAAUUUCUAUCCAAAAUUCCAAACGCUUACAUGUGCGUUAAAUCCUCGUCCAGGAAUCAGCCGAGGCACACAAUAACAAAUUGAUAAUAGAGUACUAUCAAACAACUAAUUAAUAUUCGCAAAAUGAAUAAUUAUUACAGAGGUGGAUAGUUCCUCUCAGAAGAAUAAAAUUCUACGCAGCGGAAAUAAAAACAAAAGACUAAACAGCUAUGGCGACUCCACUCCACAAGCAACUUGACCCGAACAAAGCCUAAUCCUCCUGAUCAUCACCUUCACGGAAGUACUCCUCCUCUGAUGAAUGAAUAUUGCAAGAAUGAGCAUAUGACAUACUCAACAAGCCACACAGCAAAUAUGCAAGUGCACAGGAUAACAAAGGAUGGCAUAAUAAAGCUUAUUUGCAUAAACAACAUUUAAUAAACAUUUGAGAAAAUAGUAAAAUAGUUAAGCAAUUAAGCAAUAUUAAAUAAACACUAUACAACACACCCGUGUUGCGUAGGCCCAACCACAACUGAACAACCAACCCCGGUUGUACAAAUCAAACCUCCAUACCAGGAAUAUACCAUUCCAAACCAGGAGUCAAUUUAAUUAUCACAAUAUUAUCAUUAAUAAUGAGUAAUGUGAGACUAAUCACGAAAAACAUUGUUAAACCCAGCCAUAACCGCGGGCACGACUAUUCGAAUAGUUUUACUCUGGCCAGAGAUGUACCACUGUACCCACAAGACACAGUUCCACAACACGUCACCAUGCGCCUCAGUACCACCACAAUACCUUGCAAAGGAACUGUGACAAUACCUCUCAAACAACACAACUCACCACAGUGCACCAUUCCUGGAUCAUAAUCUCCCCCUCAAAACCAGAGGCAUGGACUCCCCAGCGACCCCCACGGACUUCUCGCCGCUUCACAGUCUGGCACCCCGUAAUGAAUCAUGCUAUACAAAAGAUAAAGCCGUUGCCCACGCUGGCUUGUGGUUGGCACAGUAAAUGUUUCACAACAGUAGCUCGUGAACCGGUCCUUAAUUGUCAUGAGCAUGACCAUCACAACCAUGUGCUCACAACCCACCUUUAAUCAGGUUUUAUUUAUCAAUUAAUUAUCAUAACACGAUUAACCAUCGUGAGCUACCAUUAAUUAUAACCAUAAGUAAUAAUGUAAUAUGAUUCAUCCCAUUAAUGAGCUAAUGUUUCUAAGCAUGGCUAAGCAAUUAUGCCUAUAUAGCACUUAGCUGAACUAAACCAAUAUAUAAGGUCCAAGCUAAAUCAAUUUAUUACCCAUAGGAAAAUAAAGUCAUCUUCGGCCAUUAAUUAAUCGGGAAAGGCUCACCACUCGAUGACACUCGAAAAUAAUGCAUAAGUUGAAAUAAAACAUUAGCUUUAAACGGGUUCAACAUGCUCAAAGAGUUGUUUGGGAUCUGUGUGACUUGCCUUGAGCUUCUUCAAACCCUUCUGAACCUUCCUCAACGUAAACGCUCUCCUCUGGAACGUCGGAAACUAAAACAAAUGAACAAAAUCAACAAAACAGUACAAAAACAAGCAUAAACAGUACAUGUGGAUAUUUUUAACAUGUAGAUCUUGAUUCUAGAUGAAUUUAGCAACUUGAACCACUCGAAUCCGAGUUACGAUGAUUUAGUUAUGAAUUUUCUAAGUUUAAUUGAUUUUCAUCUAAUACAGAAAAUUAUCACGAAUUAAAUAAAUGAUUUAUGAUGUCACGAUGACAUCAUCACAGGCCAUGGCACGGGACGACGCGACCACCGGUGAUAGAGGGCUCGGCCGGGCUAUCCGAGAACACCUACGCGAAGAGGACGACGACGCGAACUCACCGGUGCAAGAAACUACGACGGACGACGACGUACGGCGGCCGGCGAUGAGCUCCGACGACGGCACGGCUUGGCUCGACGUCGACGGCAGCGCUCCGGCGGUCUCCAGUGGCUGCAAAGGGGCGGCCGAGGUGCUCCUCCUCCGCGCGAACCCAACGGCGGCAAUGGAAGGCGGCGGCGACAGCUACAGCAGCGGCGCGGCGCGGCUGGAAGGGCGUCGGCGACGGCGGCGACUAGGGCUACACGGCGGCGGCGCUACGGGCAACGGUAGAGUUCGGGACUUGAGGGGAAACGUAGAGGACAACUAGGGGAUGCUUUAUAUAGGCUUGGAUUAGAGAGAUCGGACUAUCCUAGGGUUAGUUUGGAGAGAUAAACUCGAAAACGAAUUUGAUUCUGAUGAAAUACAAAGCAAUUAGCUCCGAUUCUUGGGGGAAAUGAUGGAGGACAACAAAGGGAUAAAAACACCUCAACCAAUCGGACUUGGAGAUGGCCGGAGGCAGCGGAUUUGGAGGGGAGGCGGCGGCGCUCGGGCUCGGCUUGGCCAGCCGGAGGUGGAAGAUGACCCCGACAUGUGGGCCCCACAUGUCGGCGGAUUGAGAGGAGAGGGGCGGCGGCUCGGCUUGGGCCGGCGUGGGCCGCGCGUGGCUGGGAGGAGAGUUGGGCCGGAAACGGCCCAACGGCCUAGGGGAGGGUUUUAAAGACUUUUUCAAUUAAAAUAAUUCGUGAAAUGAUGUUUCAUUUAUUAAAAAUACUUUCCUUGCUCAAAUAAUUCCUAGAAAAAUCUAGAAAAUAGAUAAACAAGCAAAGUAUUUAAUGAAAUUUUAUCUAGCUCAAUUUUAUGUUGAAAUUUUUCCUAGAUUAUUAGAGUUUAACUUGUAGGCUUUUAAAAUAAUUUCUAAAAAUGCAUUAAAGAAUGAAUUAUUAAAUUAGGCGAUUUUCAGGGCGUGACACAACUACACCUGGCAGAUAUCCGAUUGUGUUGGAGCCCACUAUUCGGAACAUUAAGGUGGCAAGAGUUCUCAUCGACGGCGGGAGCUCGAUCAGUCUACUCUUCGCCAGCACUUUAGAUGCGAUGGGAAUACCUCGAAGCAACCUGACGCCCACAGAUCAACCCUUACACGGAAUUACCCUGGAAUCAUCGUCUAAACCGUUGGGAAAGAUCACGCUGCAUGUUACCUUCGGACACGCCGAGAACUUCUGAAUAGAGCAGAUCACCUUUGAUGUCGCGGAAUUCGACACCGCGUACAAUGCCAUCAUUGGGAGAACAGCACUCGCGAUGUUUAUGGCAGCCUCGGAUUAUGCAUACUAAGUGCUCAAAAUGCCAGGACCGAAAGGGACUGCCAGGACCGAAAGGGACAAUCAAUAUCCUGGGGAACGCCAAGUUGGUGGUGCAGUGCGACAAGCGGAGCCUCGACAUAGUCGAGCAUACUCCCAACCCACCCGCCACAACCGAGAACCCCAAGAAAGUGAGCAAAAUCAAGAAGACACCAAAACCAGAUGGCACCAUCAAGAUCAUCACGUUGUCCAGCGCCAACCCCGACAAAACCGUCAAGAUCGGGGCAUCACUGGAUGACAAAUAGGAACUCGCGCUCAUCACCUUCCUCCGAGACAAUGCGGACAUGUUCGCUUGGCAACCGUCAGACAUGCCGGGAGUACCCAGGGAGGUGAUUGAGCACAAACUAAUGGUGUGACCCAACGCCAAGCCAGUUAAGCAGAAACUGCGGUGAUUCGCACCCGAUCGAAAACAAGCCAUAUGAGAAGAGCUGGACAAACUUCUCAAAGCUGGCUUCAUAAGAGAAGUCAUCCAUCCAGAGUGGCUCGCAAAUCCAGUAAUGGUACGCAAAGCCAACAGGAAGUGGAGGUUGUGCGUCGACUUCACCGACCUCAACAAGGCGUGCCCCAAGGACCACUUCCCUCUUCCUCAAAUAGACCAAUUAGCGGACUCAAUGUCACGACCGGAAAUAACCCAACGGGCGUUCCUUACGUGCGUGCAUUAUUCCUUGUCCCAGGAGGCAAGGUACACCAAAAGUUGAUACAGUUCAGAGUUUAACAAGCGGAAGCGUAAAUAGAUAAUUUAUUACAUGGGCGGCGAAGGCCUAGCACACAUAAAGACAAACGGGAAACAGCGGAAGACUAGGGCGACGACCACAGACGCUUGACGGCAGGCACGAGCUAGACACCAAAGCCUUCAUCUUCCAGGGGCUCCUCUUCUGGGUUUGGGAAAAAUUGAGCAAGACUGAGUACAACCACCGUACUCAACAAGACACACCCACAAGUGCAGAAUAAAUGCGAGGGAGUACAAGGGAGUUAUAAUAUAAAGGGUUAGGGUUUGCAGUAAACAGCAUUAAAAGACACUUAGUUGCUCAAAGCUAUUUUGUAAACACGAUUCUAGAACUAUACAGUAUUAUUUAUCAAGGCCGUGAACCCACACGAACCUGCCUUACCCCAAGGCCUACGAUGAUUCAGACCGAACUGGCAACCCGACCCUGGGUCCCAGCUCGUCCCAAGCCAACCCAGGCCAACCAUUCCACAUUUUAGUUGUUAAGCAGGUUUUAAGGAUUAAAACACUAACUUGGGUACAUUGCUCAGCUUGCCCAUAACCGAGGGCGCGGCUAUUCGAAUAGAUUAUACUCUGAUCAGAGGUGUACAUCUUUACCCACAAGACACAUCUUCCUCACGUGUAACCACGUGCCACAUACCACCACGGUAUACGGACGGAAGACGUGACAUAGUUUCCAACCCAUCCUAGCCAUAGACAAGAGUACCGACCCAAUCCCACCUACGGCCGGAACCCCCGAGACAGGUAGGCAGGACUGAGCCCCUAGCAGCAGGACACCGGCCCUGUGCCAUGACAUCUCGACUACCAGGCCGCAGCUCGUGUAGCCUUCAUUUGCCCUGGAGAUGUCCAUCGACCCCCGACUUCGUCCAUCUCCAUCCGUGUACUUUUGUUUAUAACCAGACUGAGCCACAAACUAAGCCUUACCCACUAGACAUGUGGAAGUACGGUAGUGCUUUGCAACAGAGGCCCGAAGACCGGUCCUUAUAUGGCUGAGGUGCUACUAUCAAAACCAUGCACCCCGAGCCCAGCCUAAAACCAUUUUUGGGGAUUUUGAAUAGAGGGGGCGGUGUGAAUCCAAUUCCACAAUAAUUCAUCAAUUCCAUAGUGUCCGGGUGAUGAGAACAUUCCCAAAGUCUAGAGUUGUAAAAUCACCUAAUGUUACCUAAUUAAACAGCGAAGCAUCUACCUAAAAUCAUACUAGUGGUACCAUGAGUAGAGUGUCCACUAGUUGGGGUUUUGUUUAGUCUAGGGUGAACAAGGUAAUAAUAACAAUAACAAUAAUAAUAAGGUCAUAACAAAGGUAAAUAGGCAUGGCUAGAUAAAACGGUGAUAACGCGGGAAUUUAAAUAAAGAGAUAAUGCAAUAAUUUAAAGCAACAUAAUUUUAUAAACUGGGAUUCAAUAUGUUCAAGGAUGAUGUGACUUGCCUUGCUCGCUUUCCCAAACGCCGGCUUCAACUUCCACGAAGAGUGGAUCUUCCGAAGCUGCAGCGUCUAGACGACCAACGGAAAAGAAAAGGCUUUUACUCUAAUAAACUCCAUAUAACCAGCAGGAACAAAGCACAAAAAUGGGUUCUUGACUUCUUAAGGAAAAAUUAGAGACUUGAACGGUCCAAUUCCGAGUUCAAAUGGCCAAGUUAUGGCCAUUUGAAGUUUAUAUGCUCUUUAAAUGAAUAUUUGCGAAUUUCUUCAUUUAAAUUUUAAUUUAAAAAUGGAUUUAUUGCGUCAGCCGAGGGGAGGGGCGCGCGGACCGGGUCCACGGGGGUGGGGCCCACGCGGCAGCCCCACGGUCCACGGUGGACCGGGCGCACCCGGGCUCACACCGGCCGGCGCCGUGGGUCCCACGCGUCAGCCGCACCUAAGGGCGCGGGCGGCUGACAGCCGGGCCCCACGCGGCAGCCGCUCGGUGCGCCCGAAGGCGACCACGCCGGCGCUGCGGCGGGAGGCGGCGCGCCCGCGCCCCUAUGGUCGCCGGCGGCGGCCAUAGGCACGGCGGAGCGGCGGCCGAGAGAGGGGAGGGAAGGGGGGAAACGAAGCGGCGGUCCACGGCUCACCCCGGGUCGACGGCGACGACGGAAACGGCGACCGGAGCGGAGGGAGGCGGCGGCGCGGCUCGAGUCGACGGGGACGGCGGCGUUCCGGUGGUCGGCGAGUGAAACAGAGGGGUGGACGAGGUCGGCGAGGAUGCGGCGAAGCCGAAGGAGGCGGCGCCGAAGCGGGAGGUGGUCCGGGGCGACGACGGCGGCGGACCGGAGCUCGGCGGUGACGGCGGAGAGAGAGAGCGACGGCGCGAGCUCGAUUCCGGCGGGGAGUGAGGGCGGCGAGUGGCGGAAACGGUGGAGGGAGGCACGGGGAGGGUUUAUAUAGGGUUGGGAGGGGGAGAGAGCGGCCGGACGAGGGGGAAACGGGCGUGGAAGAUCCGGCCGCCAUUGAUGGCGCCGGCGAGGUGAGGGGAGAGGUUUCCAAACGAAUCCGAGGGAGAGAGGGAGGGAAAAAUGGGGGGAAAGAGGGAGGGAAUCACGGGGAAUAUUUCCCCCCACUUUAUUGCGCGCGUGGACGGCGGGAGGCGGCGGGAUUCGCGGCGGCGGUGGCGCUAGGGCACGGGCGAGGCGGCGGGAGCGGCGGGAGGAAGGGGAUGACGUGUGGGCCCCACCCGUCAGCGAGGGAGGCGGGCGGGCCCGCCCGUCAGCGGCGCGCGCGCGGGGAGAGGCCGGAUGGGCCACGGGGAGAGGAGAGGGAGGGGGAGGGAGCUGGGCCGGACCGGCCCAAGAGGGAGAGGGGGAGGGAAAGGGAACUUUUUAGGGUUUUUCUUUUAUAAAAUCAUUUUAACUUUGUUUAUUUCUUAAUAAUUAUUAUUUGUGCUCUGAAAAUUCCACUAAAAUUUAUUUACGCAUUUUAGGCUUUUAGGAAAUAUACAAAAAUCCUCCAAGCCUUAUUUGACUUUUAACUUUGCACAUUUUAAUUGUUGGAGGCUUUCACACGGAUUUUAAUUAUUCUAGGCAUAAUUUCGAGGAUGUAUUUUAGAGUCGUUUUGGGACGCGACACUCAAUGGCUGGCUGUGAGUUGUUAAGUUUCCUUGACGCUUACUCCGGCUACCACCAAAUCAGCAUGGCAAAAGAGGACGAAGAGAAGACAGCGUUCAUCACGCCUUUCGGUGCAACACAUAUCAGCGCGGCAUCUAGGGAGCACUUGGUACUCAGCUUGGACAAAAGUCAAGGUGUACGUGGCCGACAUCGUCAUCAAAACCAAGAAAAGCGACUCAUUGAUCGACGACCUCAGGGAAACGUUAAACAACCUCUGAAGAUAUCAAAUGAAGCUGAACCCGGAGAAGUGCACGUUCGGAGUACCGUCAGGGAAGCUGCUCGGUUUCUUGGUUUCAGGUCGAGGAAUCGAGGCAAACCCCGAGAAGAUCAAGGCAAUCGAGAACAUGAAGUCGCUACAAGGCUUAAGGAGGUCUAGCGGCUAACAGGAUGUAUGGCUUAAUUGAGCCGAUUCGUCGCAAAGAUGGGAGAAUGAGGACAACCCUUCUUCGCCCUGCUCAAGAAGCAAGACAAGUUCGAGUGGAACCAAGAAGCCAAGAACGCAUUUAUCGCGCUCAAGCGCUACUUGUCAAAUCCUCCCGUACUCGUUGCUCCUCAAAUCAAUGAAGAAUUAUUCCUGUAUAUUGCUGCCACGCCUUAUUCUGUGGGUACAGUUAUCAUCGUAGAAAGGGAAAAAGUACAACAUCCCGCGUACUACGUAAGCGAGGCCCUCCACGACGCAAAAACUAGAUACCCACAGAUCCAAAAACUGCUCUACACCGUUGUCAUGACAUCGAGAAAGCUACGCCACUACUUCCAGGCUCAUAAGGUCACCGUCAUCUCCUCCUUCCCUUUGGGUGAAGUUGUCAGGAAUAAAGAUGUGGUCGGCCGAAUCGCUAAAUGGGUAGUCGAGCUAAGCCAAUUUGACGUCCACUUUGUGCCAAGAACAGCCAUCAAGUCACAGGUCUUCGCUGACUUCGUAGCCGUCUGGACUAUCCCAGAGGACAGACCAGCCGCCCAAACGAUCAACGAGACCUGGACCAUGGCAUUCAACGGAGCACUGAACAGCCAAGGAGCAGGCGCUGGAUUCAUCUUGACAUCGCCCACAGGAGAUCAGUUCAAGCAUGCAAUCCAUCUAAACUUCCAGGCAACAAACAACACGGCCGAGUACGAAGGACUACUCGUAGAGAUAAGAGCAGCAGUAGUACUUGGUGUCAAGCGACUAGUCGUGAAGGGAGACUCCGAGUUGGUCGCGAACCAAUUACACAAAGACUAUAAAUGCUCUAGCCCCGAAUUAGCCAAAUAUCUCACCGAAGUCAGAAAACUGGAACGCAAGUUCGACGGAAUCGAAGUUCGACACGUUUAUCGAAAAGACAAUGUCGAACCAGACGACCUUGCACGACGUGCUUCCAGACGAGAACCUCUCGAGCCCAGAACGUUCUUGGAUGUCCUGACGAAGCCAUCCGUCAAGGACACGCACGACGAUAGUACCACGGCUGAUACCAGCAACUCGCAGGGGCUGCAGAGGUACCUGAUGUCGCUGCAAUCAUAGAGACGACAGACGACUGGUGUACUCCGCUAAUCAAAUUCUUGGAGUCAGACGAGCUGCCGGAUGACGACACGGAGGCUGAGAAACUGUCCCGUCAGGCUAAGAUAUAUUGUAUGAUCGGCAACGAUCUAUACAAAAAGGCCCUGAACAGAGUUCUCCUCAAGUGCAUAUCAUCCGACGACGGACAAGCUCUUCUCCUCGACAUCCAUGAAGGCAUUUGCGGAUCUCACGUCGGUGCACGUACUCUGGUCGGAAAAGCUUUCAGGCAAGGUUUUUUCUGGCCAACCGCUCUUAAAGACGCAUGUGAAAUAGUGCAAUGAUGUGAAGCUUGCCAAUUCUUCAGCAAACACACCAAGUUGCCAGCACAAGCGCUCUAGACUAUCCCUUUGACAUGGCCAUUCUCGUGCUGGGGGCUCGACAUACUCGAGCCGUUCCCACGAGGACAAGGGGGCUACAAAUUUUUGUUCGUGGCAAUCGACAAAUUCACCAAGUGGAUUGAAGUAGAGCCGACAAGAGAAAUUAAAGCCGACAACGCCAUUAAAUUCAUCAAGGGGAUAUUCUGCAGAUAUGGGUUGCCUCACCACAUCCUUACAAACAAUGGAUCCCAGUUCACCAGCAGUGAUUUCCAAGAUUACAGCAUUGAACUCGGGGUCAAAAUCUGCUUCGCCUCAGUGUCACAUUCUCAGAGCAAUGGACAAGUCGAGCGGGCCAACGGAAUAGUACUACAAGGGAUUAAAACUCGCGUCCACAAUAGGCUCAUGGCCUAUGAUAAAAAGUGGGUCGAAGAACUUCCCUUAGUACUAUGGGCCGUACGAACCACGCCGACUACAUCCAACAAGGAAACACCCUUCUUUCUCGUAUACGGAUCUGAAGCCAUGCUCCCUAUGGAGUUACAACAUCAAAGCACACGCGUACAGAAGUAUACCGAUGAGGAACAGGACGAAAGGCGAAGCGACGAUGUGAAUCUUCUCGAGGAACAUCGCGAACGAGUUGCCGUCCGAGCAGCCGCAUUCCAACAGGCUCUUCGCCGAUAUCAUGAGAAGCGCAUCAGAGCUCGCACACUCUCCAUCGGCGACUACGUCCUCCGACGAGUUCAAAACUAGGCAGGGCGUAACAAACUCUCGCCUAAGUAGGAAGGACCAUACACGGUGGUUCGAGUACUGCGAUCGGGCAAGUUCAAAAUUGUAGAUGGCGAUGGCAGCGAGUUAUCCAACUCAUGGAACAUUGAUAAAUUACGUAAAUUUUAUGUAUAAAGUCAAUGUAUCCCAGACAUGUACAAAUCAAAUAUCCAAAGGUAUUUUGAUCUCCUUAUACACCAGUGUCCUUUUUCCAGAGAUCCCUUACCACGAUAACACCUACUCUUGAAAACGAACCUAUUGACCCUUUACGCCAUUUCGACAAGACCUCCGAGAAACCUACGGGAAUUUCGGCUGGGGACGCCCAGAGCAGAUAAGGGCUUGUCGGAUUCGAAGAGCCGAACGAACCAUGUAAGACCUGGUCAUGUAAGAGUGCUCAAAAGGUGUAUUAACUAAGCCGUGUAAUCGGAAAUUGGUUUUUCCAACUUCACGGCUGGGGGGCUAGGUAAAUUGCAAUUUCAGAUAGGCAAGUUACGGGCCAUCGAGCCUUCCCCUAUGAGAACAGACUUCUCCGAGGACAAGGCUGGGGGCUAGGGAGGGUACCUUACUCGACAACGGGCUAAAGACAGCCUGUAAAAAGAGUAGUACUCGCAUAUGACACGACCUAUUUACACCUUCAGUAGAUAGGUUCUUUAUGAUUACAAAACCCCUAACAAUAAUAUAUUACAAAAUUUCUGUCAGAUGUUUUUUACAAGGACUAAAAAUCUACCACGACGGCCAUUGCCAGUUCAUGGAAGCAAACACCUCCUCGGCUAGGGGCGCAAGCGAUCGCGCCGACCGGUCGACCUCAUGCGCCGACAACCGAGAACGUCGAAAACCCCCACGCAGGAACCCGAGAUCCAUUUGCGGACGAUGAUCUUGGACGCAAGCAAGGACGUGGCCCCUAGCGCAGCGCCUCGCACGACGACACUCCUCCUUGAGGCUGAUGUCGAUGCGCUGUCCUAUGUCCUCGAGUUGGGCACACGCCCCCGUCAUCUAAGACAAGUAGCCUGCCGUACUCUCCUCGGGCUUCGGGCGGUUGACCUUCAACUGACGACAGACAUCAGCCAUGGCACUACAGCAGCUCUUGAGGUAUGAGUUCACCCAGACCUCGCGACCACGAAGCACCUCCACGGCUUGGUCUUUUUUCACAACCAUGAGUGAUCGCUCAAGCUUGGCGACUUCAAACUUUGUCUUCCAGUAGUCGAUACGCCUAUCUCGCUCAGCGACGACACUAUCGAGGUCUACAGAGGGCAGAAGAUGUGACGGAUGCUACCUCCUAAACAAAAUCACAAGUUUAGGAGAGAGACUUCUAUAAAACAUCACACCUGAGCUCGCACGUGGGAACCCGACUUCACCGGCCUCAAGCAGGCAGCAAGUCGCGUCCAAUCCCCCAUCCUUGACGGCGUCGUCCGAGGAAGGCAGUCCAACCAUCUCGACAUGAGGAUGUCCGCCUUGCUGGACGUCCUCGGGAUCUACACAGCUACGGAAGGCAAAGGAACGCGACAAAUCAACACAUAAUUCAUGAAAGGAAGCUGCUGCAUCCAUAGAACAAUGGAAGUGUUUAUACAAAGACCAUAAUACAAGACAGAGAAAUUUACUCCUCAAAAAGGGGGAGGACACUCUCCCCGAGAUCCGAUACGCUCGCCAUCACGCUCUCCCGCGUAGUGUUAGCUGCCCCCUUCGCCAAGAUCUCCUUGAGGUCGACGUUAGGGAGAGCCAGCUUCACGCACGCGAGGACGUGACACGCCCCCGUGUGGAUCCCGUUAGAGAUCUCCUCGGCAACGUGAGCGGCGUGCCGUGACGGGAUGGUCUCCAUCUCAUCCGCGAGUUCCGACAAUGCCGACGUCAGUGACGUCUCAUUGGGGUGCGUUGGAAUAGAGGACUUCGCCCCGCACAACAACGCUAACUGGAGGGAAUCGUGGAGGGAAAAGAGGAUGUCCUACGUAUCAUUCAUCCUCUUCUCCAAACCUUGGCGCUGCAUCUCGUUGCUGGCCACGAUUUCCUUCAUCUUCUGAAGGUCCUCGUGGGCAACCACGAGUUGCGCCUCCAGCUGUGCCACCCUUCCGUCCGCCGCCGUCGCGCGAGCCUCCACACGGUCCAUUUGGGCCACCACCACCCGAGAACCCCUCUCGAGAAGGCGGUGGCACUCGGCCACCAUGUCAGACCAAGUGGUCAUCUUAGGUGGUGGCGCGGCCACAGGAGCAGCGGCACAUCCCACGGACUCCGCGACGAUGGGAGCAACCUCUACAUGAGGAGCGACAGCGACAGGGGACCCACUCAUCGCCGCCUCACUCCCACUCUGCGAGGAGACCACCGACGCUUUCCUACGAAGGCUAACAGACGUCAUUGAAGAUCGGGAAUGCGACAACAAGGUCGAUCAAGAAUUUCGCUUACCUCCCGGCGGGCAGCUUCAAUGUCCUCCUCUUCGGGGGAGGAGCCAGACUGCCCGUGUCCCACGUAAGACAGUAAAUCAUGACCCCAUUUUUGACAUCCUCGUAAAAGAAGUUAAAGGGCGAAGGCAGCACGCCUACCUCGGAACCAGCAGACUUCUACCGAGAACCAUUGGGGGCACUCGAUCUCGCCCACGGCUUACGCUUUGUCCCGCUGCCCCCAGCGAUGGUGGGAGCGGAGGAGAUCUUGGCGACUUCGUCGUCGACCUUCUCCUUUAGCGAAGCGGAGGCCCGGUGAUCGACAAGAGGACCGAUUACAUCCGUCAACGGCAGAAUCUGCAAGAGUUGAAGUCACUUUGGCCCUUCAAAGGAAUAAAAGAUAUAAGGUGUCCUGGUUCUCGCUUACAUUGAUGGCGGUAGCCUUCUCGGCUGCCGACUUGUCGCAAAGCGGGGCCGGCACCCCUUCCGCCGUGGAGGGCGCGCUGAUCAGGACCUCCUCGACUCGCUGCGCCACCGUAUCGUCAGGAAGAUCUGAAACAAACAAAGAUGGAAGGAAGCAUGGUUAGAUCUCGUCCACGGUUUCAACAUCAGGAGCGAAAAGAAAGUGCAACGCAAGGACGAAUACCCCGCGAAGAAAUCUGAGUUAUGUCCUCGGUUCCGGCGUAGUCGAAUGCGGGGUGAGCGUGAGCUUGCAGCGGUUGGAUCCGACGACUAACGAAAUCCUCAACAAUUUCAUAGCCAGUCAGUCCUCGCUCGCGAAGACCACUCACGAUGUCGACAAAAGCCUGGAGGGAGGGCGUCAUCGGGGGUUUGGAGUUCCAGUCCUCGGAACGAUCUGGUUGAACCUCGGGAACGAUAAGAACCGGGUCGAGUUAUUUUAUCCCCAGGUAUAACCAUCUCGUCCUCCACUGGCUCCGAGAUGAGUGGCAUUGGAGUGGGAUGUAUCUUGCCUUCAUGCCAUCACGAAGGCGGAAUCCGCAACAUCCUGAAACCCAAUUGGGUUCCAUCCACCGGAGUUCGUAGAAAAAGCGAAAAAGAUCAAGGAAAGGCACUACCCCAAUGUAGGGCUCGCAGAGAUGAGCAAAAAUGCUCAGGAAGGCAAUGGAGUUGGGGUUUAGGUGCAGGAGAAAGACCGUAGAAGUUUAAGAUCAGCAAGAGAAAUUCGGAAGGAGGAGGUAGAAAGCCACAUUUGAUGAAAUCCUCUACCGCUAUCAUGCGACCUAAAAUGGGAGAAGGAACAGUACCUCCUGCCUCCCUCACCAUGGUUUGCUUCGGAGGGAUGGCUCCUUCGUUGUACAGCUUCUUCAGCGUGGCGGCAUCGGAGGAAGACUGCUCGAGGUCCGCCAUCGGAAGAAGAUUGCCGGUGGAGGGUGUUGAAGAUUGGGGAACGAAGAGUCCGAAGAAGUUGAGGAACAGUGAGAGUUUUUUGGCAAACGGACCCGAAAUGAAUCUCAAAAUCCUAUUAUAUAGGCGCACUACCUGACGGUUCGUAUUUCGAGGAAAGGGGAGAGAUUGCCGCCGAAAAUUUCUGGGGACCGUUGUUCAGACUUCAAUUUAAAUUCAAAACCUGCACAGAUAGGCUCCCUGAAAGCGUUAUCGACAACUCUACAUCUCUACGGUUAUAUAACCGAGGUUGAUCUAACGAGUAUGACAACGCUAUAUCAGGAGAAGUCGCGUGCGAGAACAUGAAUUCAUUUAAGUUAAAGUCGGGGGCUACUGUCAGGGUUACGGAUAAGGCAUACCCUCUAUCCUACGACUUAUGGAAUACACCAAUAAGGUAUACCUUCAUGUAUACGGUUGGUUUCCAUAUACGUCAUUAGGAAUUCGCCUCAAAUUAUGGAAAAUAUCUCCACGAAGUUAAGGAAUUGCAGAAGUCCUACUCGGAAAGGGUAAAAUCUCCAGUAUAUCGUGUCGGUUUACAUAUCUUCAAGUCUUACUUGAGGGUCAAGGUAUCCCACGAUAUAAAAGGGACCCCUAGGGAAAGGCAAAGGAUAUCGUAUCUCAUCGCCAACACACCCACCAAAGUUUACGAAGCCGGAGUCCCCGGAGCCAACUCGCUGGGAGAUCUCGUCGAAUUCCUCGACUACGGUCUCAUUGGCAUCGCCAAUUCGGUUACUCUCUUUGUAAUCUGUUCUCAUCAUCAUCAAUCCCAUAUAAACUGGACUAGGGCUAUUACCUGAUAAGGGGCCUGAACCAGUAUAAUCCUUGUCUUUUGUCUGUUUUGAUGUCGUACUACGUAGAUCCCUGUUCCAACGUACCCUAAUACCCUAUUCUUUCGGUCCGCGAGUAUCACUCGUUGACAGAUAGCAAGAUAGUUAUAUUAGGAAAGAAUCUAUUUUAUACCGCCGAGUUUGUUUGAAUUCAACGAUUUGCCUUGACAUUGUCUUUCUAUGCGCCAUUGGGCUAGGCCUUAUUUUCAAAAAUAUCCUUAUGGACAUACAAGGUUAACAAUUGAUUAUCUAAUUUGAAGUUUUAAAAAAAUAAAAACUUUUAUGUGGCCUCCUUACACAACAUGGACGUUUGUAUAGAAGUUUUAAGUUUUUUACAUUUCUAUUUUUUAAAAAAAUAUAAUUUAUCUGCUAUAUGCUAUAUAAAAUAUUUUUUAUUGUUGUUUUUAAUAUAAAUCAUCUUUCAUACACUACAUAAAAUAUUUUUGUGCUAUUAUGUCUUGUAUAAGCAAAUUCUCUCUCAUAUAGCACAUAAAAAUAUUUUUUUAAAAAAAUCUAAAUUUACCAGAAAAAACUUGAAACUUGUAUACAAACUUACAUGUUGUGUAAGGAGGCCACAUAAAAAUUUUCAUAUUUUUUUGAAACUUCUGAUGAGAUAAAUUAAUUGUUAAUCUUGUAUGUCUCUUAGGUGUAUUUUUGAUAUUUUUGAAAAGAAGAUCUAGCCCAACGACGUAUUGUAGAAGAAUUGAUAAAGCCACCGGUAUAUUAUAGAAAGAGAUAAUGUCGAUAGCAAAUCGUUUAACUUGAAAGACUCGGUGGUAUAGAAUGGAGUCUAGUAGUCAUCAUAAGACCACAUUUCUGGAAAUGCACACAGUGAUGAGAAUGAGAGAAUCUACUUCAGAUGGGUGAUGAUGGGUACAUUUCAAUAUUUUUAUAUAGUUAUGACAGUAUAGAAGUUAAGGUGAAAGAACAAAAACUUGUCUAUGAAAUCUGGCUCUAUCAAAAAUCUAAAUGGACAAAGAAGCUCUUAUAUAUGUCUGAAACAAAAUGAAAAUGUGGCUCAUGCACUUGAUAGUGCAGUGAUAAAAGAUGUGUGGUUUUAACCAUAAGGUCCCAUGUUUAAUUCUCAACACGCUUAUAAUUUUUUUUAGAACGAAAAGAAAAUCUGAAUAAAAAUAAUAAGCAUGGGCCGGCCCACGCACCUAUUAAAUAUUAAAGGAUGGGGUUUUCCUUUUCCGGAAGAAAGAAAACGGACAGACUUGUCUCCGACCCGACCCGACCCGACCAGAUUGAAAGCAGGCGAGGCGAGGCGAAGCGAGCAGCUUGGGUAGCGCAUAGAGACGAACACUUGCAGUGCGUGCGCCACGGGACGGGAUGACCAUGGCGAUCUCUUCCUCCUUUGGUAUUUUUCGCUCUCUUCCCCCUUCGCCUCCUUCCACGGCCGCCGCCGCCACCGCCGCCGCGUCCACUAACUAAUCUCUCCUUCCGAUCGCGCUCAUGCAGGUGGCUGCUAACAUUUUUAUUUUAUUUUUGACCUUCUUCGAUCCUGGUUGCUCCCUGUGUGUGAGUGAGAUUCAGGUAAGUUUCCUCGGCGAGCUCGCCGUCCUCGCACGCGCGCUGGAAUUGAGUUAGCUAAUCUCAUUCCCGUCGCCGCAGAUUUGAACAGCAGAUUUGAACAGCAGAGAACGAAGAAGAAGCCGGCGGCCGCUCGAAACCCUUGACGGCGACCGGCCGGCGCUGCGCUCUUCAACCACUACACAUACUUACAGUGAGUGACUAAGGUAAAUUAAUUUCCUCCGCACUCGAUCGUAGAUGAUCCUGCAUACGCGUUCUCCGGCUUGCAUUGCUAGCUGAUCCUAGUUGAGGCCAGGCCACCAACUACUCGAUCGAUAGAUUUUCCGUUCGUUCGUUUCGUCCGGCGCGUGUGUGCUCCAGUGCGAGGGGGCGAUCCAUACAUACUCCAAAUCAACCAAAGUUAAUCAUCUGCCAUGUUCAUUUCAAUUCAUCCAUGCAUCCAGUGCUGUGCGAACAAAAGUGAUGUGAUUUUAUAACCUUUUUUUGAGUUGAACUUGUCUAGACCGAGUUGGGGGUUUAAUUUGUCUCAUCACCUUAUGGCUUGAUUUCUUUAGGUGCUAAAACUCGUUGGUUGUGUGCCGAGGCCGUAGAUGUAAAUCAUUUUCAUUAUCUAAAAAUAUAUCGAUCAUCUGCUUGUUUGAUUUGUGUGUACUGCAUACAUCGAUAGAUUGUGUCUGUCAUGCAUGUUUGAAUCUCUCAUACACAUGUAUAGUAUAGUAUAGUAUAGUAUAUCUCAGUAGUCGAUAAAUCAUGAUGCAGGGCAGGGGGCUUGGCUAACUGAAGAUCGAGAUCAGAGAGGCUAUCAGAGCAGAAACAUGGAGAUCUAUCUUAUCAAUGGCAGAGGACAAAUUCCACUUUCCCAUUGGAGAUCCCGAGGGCCGUGGUACCAAGAACACGUAUGCAUCUCUGGUCAGCAGCAUUGUCACUAGAAUCACCACCAGAGCAAUGGCGACCGUGGAGGGAAAGCCAGUUUGUGGGCCCUCGGGGUACUUUGAGAUAAUCCUUUUUCCUAAACCUGGCACUCAGUUCGCCGCAAAACAUGCUAAUGGCCGCGUCCGCCUGCUGUUUAACUACCAGAAUCUCUAUCUCGUCGCUUUCAAGGUGCAAGGUAAAUGGCACAAAUUCAAAGACCUCACUCCAAAAAUAGCUCCAGACUAUGCCAGCAUCAAGAGGAAGAAGCACUGCGAGGCCAAGAAUCUACCCUUCGAGUCCAACUACGGAGUAAGAGGAAUGGCGGCAAACUUAGCACAACUCAAGGUGAGCAGACAAACUCCACUUCAGAUCUAUAAGAUGCUGAGUUUGUAUGACCCUGAGCACAACGCGGGAAUGGUCCGAUUGUCAGACUUGCAAAAGAUGCUCUUCAAGACCUGUGCUGUGUUUCCGGAGGUGUUCAGAUUCCCAUUGCUGAAGAAGCGAGUCGUGUACCUGAUGGGUAAGACAGCAGACGAAGAGAGUACUGUCGGUGAGCAACACACCGAUCUGUUCCAGAACUGGGGUGAUUGUUGCAUGGCACUCAGGAUGGGGAGACAAGCUUUCACGCCGAUGGCUGAUCUAGAUAUCUACACGUUCGACCAGCUGCUCUCUACGAUCGGAGCCGUUUUGCCAGUUUGAAAUAUUCACUCUACGUGUCUUAGCUUGCUCCAAGCUGCUAGCUGCUUGCUUCUACCAUAUUAUAUAACUGCGUGCUGCUUAACUGUACUAAAGACCCCCCCUGCAGCUACCUCUGCUCUCCUUAGAUAUAUAGGAGUAUAUGCAUAUAUAUAAUUAUUACCACUAAUCAUCUAGUAUAUCAUACGACGACGACGAUACAUAUGUAUAUGAUCCACUUAAUGUUACCCUGUUACUAUCUAGCUACUUGCCAGAUUUUGAUCCACUACUCCAUGUUGGUGCAUACUUGAGACUAAAUUUGCGUGCACAUACUAGCUACCAUGUAUGUACGUACUAUUAUGUACCCUUCUUCUAGACAGCUUAUUAAUUAGUACUAAUUAGCUUGCAUAUGGUGUGUCGUUCAUCCAUUCUGUUAUCAGUUAUCCUGCAGUUAUUACAUAUAUAUAUAUACAGAUGUUGUACUGUCAAUAUAUCAGUUCAUGCAUAUGCUCUCUACCUAUCUACGUAUUAUAUAUGCAUAUGCAUGAAUCAUAUAUAUAUAUAUAUAUAUAUAUAUAUCUUGCUGAGAAAUAAGUGGAUAUGUAUACAACGUAACUUACACGGGUACACAAGUAUCCAUGCCAUGCACGCCAUAUUUAUGCUACAAAUUGUUGCCAUAUAUAUGUAUAUAUGACGCCUCAUGUAUAAGUGCAACUAGUUAAUGAAAGCCAUGCAUUCAUACUAAAAUUUACGAACAUAUACAUUCACAUUAGUAUGUUAGGCUCGAUUAUUAAAUGUGUUCGGAAAAUUCGACCUCUUAAUUAUUACUCCUUAUAUUAAUUAAUUAGGGCAAGUUCAUACUAAGAUACUCCCUAAUUCGACCUCUUAAGUAGUACGUACCACUUAAAUUUUGUUCAUGUCAUGGAUCGGAUCUCCUCGUCAACUAGUAACACUGGUGGAGAAACCAUCUUUCGUCGGUCGGCCGAUUUCCACAAUAGUUCCGGAUGCAAUAAAAACCGGGGCUAAAGAUGAUCUUUAGUCCCGGUUCAAAAGGGUAACGGGCAUAUUUGAUCUUUAGUCCCGGUUGGUAAAGAUCAUCUUUAGUCCCGGUUCGAAUGCUGUCAGGGCAUGUCAGGCCCCCCCGGGAUCUUUAGUCCCGGUUGAUACUUUAGUCCCGGUUGGUAAUACCAACCGGGGCUAAAGAUCCUGGUGAUCUUUAGCCCCGGUUGUUGCUACCAACCGGGACUAAAGUCCCACCCCUAUAUAUAUGUCUUCUUCCUCCUCCAGCUGCCCGAGCAAGCUUCAAAAUUUAUUCAAAAAAGAGGGGAGGUCAUGCCAAAAUUUCUAUUGAAUUUAUUUUGGUUAUUACAUACAAAUCGGAGGUGCCUAAAAGGUUUGCAACUUCAUCCUCCAAUAUUUUUUUUUGUCAUACUACAUUUGCACCUAUGUUUUGCACACUUUUUUUUGUCUCCAAAAUUUAGUUGUAAGUUGAUGAGAGAGAAAAUGUGUGUGGGGAAGAAAGAAUAUAUAGAAAUUUAGUUCAUUUGCUAAACAAGGUUUUAUAAAAUAGUUGAGAAGGAAAACUCUAGUGAAAGUUAAUCUUAAAUAAUAGAAAACAAACUAAAAUGAAAAUUAAAAGAAGUAAAACACAUUAAAAUUAGUUUAAAACUUUACACAUAGUUUUUAAGAAUUAUUUGGUGUAAUAUUUUAUUAUUUUUGUAUGAAUAAAGAUAUCUUAUAAUUAUUGUAUGACUGUCAUUAUUGUAAGAAUAAUUAUUUGUGUACGGUUUUUUUUGACUCAUGUAGAUGGAUCGGCAAUGGAUGUACGCUGACCGGCGGUCCAAAAGAGUUUAUUGACGGCGUGCACUAUUUUUUGAGAGUGGCCGAAGCUAACAGGCAAAGGGGUUUUAUUUGUUGUCCAUGCAAUAAUUGUGAGAAUCAGAAGGAGUAUUCUGCAUCCAGGACUAUUCAUUUCCACUUGUUUGAGUCGGGGUUCAUGCCAAGCUAUAAUUGUUGGACAUCCCACGGAGAGCAAGGUGUUGAAAUGGAAGAAGAUGAAGUGGAAGACGACAAUAUUCCGGACUUUGCUCAGUAUGUUGGAUUUGAAGAAAAUCAAACGGGCGAGGAGGAAACAGCUGCUGAUGGUAACGACGUUGCGGAUGAUCUUGGUCAGAUGUUGCAGGAUGCCAGGGAGGAUUGCGAAAGUGAAAAGGAGGCCUAUAAAUUGGACAAGAUGUUGGAGGACCACAGAACUUCGUUGUACCCAGGUUGCGAGUAGGGGCACAAAAAGUUGGAUACCACUCUGGAGUUCUUGCAAUGGAAGGCAAAAAAUGGGGUUAGUGACAAGGCAUUUGGCGAUUUAUUGAAACUCGUCAAGAACAUUCUUCCGGGGGGAAACAAAUUGCCCGAGACAACGUACGAGGCUAAGAAGAUAGUCUGCCCGUUAGGACUGGAAGUUCAUAAGAUUCAUGCAUGUCCGAACGAUUAUAUCCUAUAUCGCGGUGAGGAGUAUGAGAACCUAGAAGCAUGCCCUGUUUGCAAAGCACUACGAUACAAGAUUAGACGAGACGAUCCAGGAGAAGUUGACGGGCAGCUAACAAAGAAGAGAAUUCCUGCUAAGGUGAUGUGGUAUUUCCCUAUAAUACCAUGGCUAAGGCGUUUGUUCAGGAAUAAGGGGAAUGCUAGAAUGUUGCGAUGGCACGCUGAAGAGCGUCAACAGGAAGGGAUGCUGAGACACCCCGCCGAUGGUUCGCAGUGGCGAAACAUCGACAGAAAAUUUAAAGAAUUUGGAAAGGACGUACGAAACAUACGGUUUGGUUUGAGUACGGAUGGCAUGAAUCCUUUCGGAGAGAUGAGCAGCGGCCAUAGCACUUGGCCCGUUACGAUGUGCAUCUACAACCUCCCCCCUGGCUAUGCAUGAAGAGGAAGUACAUAAUGAUGCCGAUUAUUAUUCAAGGCCCCAAGCAACCUGGUAACGACAUCGAUGUGUACCUAAGACCACUGGUCGAAGAUCUUAAACAGUUGUGGAAGAAGGUAGGUGUCCCCGUGUGGGACGAGGACAAACAUGAGGAGUUUAACCUACGAGCGCUGCUGUUCGUAACCAUCAACGAUUGGCCUGCACUUAGUAACCUAUCCGGACAGUCCAACAAGGGGUACAAGGCUUGCACUCACUGUAUGGAUGAAACAGAAAGUACGUAUCUUAAGCACUGUAGGAAGGUUGUAUACAUGGGUCAUCGUCGAUUCCUUGCAGCAAACCACCCGGUACGAAAGAGAGGCAAGCACUUCGAACAUAAGGCCGACCACCGUACGAAGCCUAAACAUCGCAGCGGGAAAACAGUGUUUGCUAUGGUUAAAGAUCUUAAAGUAGUGUUCGGAAAGGGGCCUGGAAGCCAGCCUAUAGAGAGCGAAGAUGGUCACGCGGCGAUGUGGAAAAAGAACUCUAUAUUUUGGGAGUUACCAUAUUGGGAAUUCUUGGACGUACGCCACGCAAUCGACGUGAUACACCUCACUAAGAACCUUUGCAUAAACCUUCUUAGCUUCCUAGGUGUAUACAGAAAGUCGAAAGAUACACUGGAAGCACGUAAUGAUCUGAAGCAUAUGGAACAAUGCGGCGACCUUCACCUGGAACCAAAGGAGAAAGGAAGCCAUUACUUGAGUCCAGCUAGCUACACUCUUAGCAAGGCAGAGAAGGAAAGUAUGUUUGAAUGCUUGGAGAGCAUAAAGGUACCAUCUGGAUACUCCACGAAUAUCAAGCGAAUAAUAAGCACGAAGGAGAAGAAGUUCACAAACCUAAAGUCUCAUGAUUGUCACGUGUUGAUGACACAACUGCUACCAGUUGUAAUAAGGGGUAUCCUUCCAGACAAUGUCCGGGCAACAAUAACAAAGCUAUGUGCAUUCAUGAAUGCAAUUUCGCAGAAGGUCAUCGAUCCGGAUAGAUUAGAAGCCCUUCAGAAUGAAGUGGUGCAAUGUCUCUCAGUUUUGAGUUGAUAUUUCCACCUUCAUUUUUCAAUAUAAUGACGCAUCUGCUUUGUCACCUUGUGAAAGAGAUCCGUAUUCUCGGGCCUGUGUACCUACACAACAUGUUUCCUUUCGAGAGGUACAUGGGCGUUCUGAAGAAGUAUGUUCGUAACCGUGCUCGUCCAGAGGCAAGCAUCGCCAAGGGUUAUGGAACAGAGGAGGUCAUCGAAUUUUGCGUAGAAUUUAUCGAAGACCUUCGCCCAAUCGGGGUACCUAAAUCACGCCAUGAAGGGAGACUACGGGGAAAGGGAACUCUCGGAAGGAAAGCAAUAAUGACGGUAGACAACAAUUUAUUCCGUAAAGCCCAUUUCACUGUUCUGCAACACUCUUCAUUGGUAGCUCCUUACAUCGAGGAGCACUUGGCUCUAGUUCACGCCAAGAACAUCGGUAAGUCCGAUGCAUGGAUUACACGGCAUCACAUUGAUACUUUUCCCACGUGGCUACGACAACAUCUCAUGGGUAACGAGUCGAUCAACCAACAACUUGCCUUCCUGGCGAGGGGACCGUCUGGGUCGAUCACGACAUUCCAGGGAUAUGAGAUCAAUGGGUACACAUUCUACACGAGAGCCCAAGACAUGAAGAGCACGAACCAAAACAGCGCUGUUCGUGUCGAUGCCAUGGGACACGAUAGAACAACUGCCACGUAUUACGGUGCCAUCGAGGAUAUAUGGGAACUUGACUAUGGUCCUUAUGGUUCCUCUGUUCCGGUGCCAAUGGGUUAGGUUGACUAGUGGAGGCGUAAUGAUUGAUGAUAGUGGUAUGACAACUGUUGACCUUAACAAGGUUGGAUACUCGGACGAACCUUUUGUCCUUGCCAAUGAUGUAACGCAAGUCUUUUUCGUGAAGGACAUAUCUAGCAAAGGAAAGAAGGGCAGAGGGCCUGACGAGCCUAAGUGUCAAGUGGUUCUCACAGGCAAAAUAAAAAUCGUCGGAGUUGAGAAUAAGACUGACGAGGAUUACGAUCAGUUGGAUGAGCAACCCCUUUCACGGUGACGAUUGACCCUAGCAUCCUUCUAUCAAAUGAAGACACCCCUUACUCACGCAGCGAUCACAAGGAGGGAACAAUAGUGAGGAGAAAGUACGUGCGGUCAACCGUCACCGCCGAUGUAAUGCCGUAAUUAUUGUGUACACGAUGUAAACUAUUUUGGAUGUAUUGAUUAUCCAUAUAAAUCAAUUGAUGUAUGGCAUAAUUUACUAUCAUUCAUAUGCUACAUUUAAUUGACUAUCAUUCAUAUGCUAAUUAUAAUUGACUAGAGAAUUUUUAAAAGUAUUAAAUCAUUCAUGUGGCAUUUACAGAUGUUAAUUAGAGUUUUUCACAAUUUAAUUUACUAUCUUUCAUAUGCUACUUAUAUAUGACUAUUCGAAUUUUUAAAAGGUUUAAAUCAUGCAUGUGGCAUUUACAUAUGUUAAUUAGAGUUUUUAACUUUUAAUUUAAUAUAAUUCCUACGCUAAGUAUAUAUGAUGAUUAUAAUUUUUAUUAAUUUUAAAUCAUGCAGUAUGUACAUACAUAUCUUAAUUAGAGUUUUUACCAAUUUAAUAAUAUCAUUCAUAUGCUAAGUAUAUAUGAUUAUUGGAAUUUUUAUUAAUUUUAAGUCAUAUAUUUGCUUAUUACGAUUUAUCCACUUAAUUUAUUACAGACAAAAAUAAUUUUUCGAAGUAAUUGUCAUUAAUCUUUGUACUUUAAAUAAUGUUAAUGCAUUAACUUCUAUUUUAGAAACACAUAUGUAAGCGAAAAUAAUAUGCAGUGCUAUAAUCUUUAGUCCCGGUUCUUAACCCUAACCGGGUUUAAAAAGAAUUUGGAAAUAGCGGGAAAAGAUCUUUACUCCUAGUUGAUGAGAACAACCGGGACUAAAGAUAUCUUUAGUCCCAGUUGUUGAGAACAACCGGGAGUAAAGAUCUUUUCAUUACUCCCGGUUGUUCUUAACAACCGGGACUAAAGAUAUCUUUAGUCCCGGUUGUUCUCAUCAACCGGGAGUAAAGAUCCGGGGGUAUAUAUUUUCCCGGUGCGCCCUCGUCUUCUCCACCAACACUCAACGUUUUCGGCCGAUCGAUCUCUCUCGGCCUCUCUCCUUCGCCGCCACUGCCUAGGGCAAAUCCCCGCGCCGACGCCAUCGUCUCGAGCUCGUCGUCCUCGCCGCCGCCUCCGCCUCCUCCUCCGCCGCCGCAUCUCUGGGGUGAGAGCCGCCGCCGCCUCUCCCUUCAUCGAUCUCCGAUCUCGAUCUCUCUCUCCGUUGCGCCGCCCGCCACGAGACGCCGCGCCACGCCGACGCCGCGCCACGCCGCCGCCGGCACGCCACGCCGCCGCCUUCGCCGCCACGCAACGCCGCCGCCGCAUGCAACGCCACGCCGCCACCGCCGUCGCCACGCCACCGCCGCCACCGCACGCCGCCGCGCCAAGAGCCGGCCCGAUGCCGCCACACCGCCGUUAACGAACACGUGAACGAGAACGAACACGUCAACGUAUGUUGCCGCGAGAACGUGAACGAGAACGAGAACGAUCGAACGAACGAGAGCGAGAACGAACACGUCAACGUACGUUGCCGCGAGAACGUGAACGAGAACGAGAACGAUCGAACGAACGAGAGCGAGAACGAGAACUGUCGCGACCGGGAAAAUUGCCUUUUCCCGAACGCUAGUGUAUUAAUCCCCGUCCCAGGAAAAGCCGGGGUACACCACACAAACGUGAUAUAAAAGACACAUCUUUAUUAUAUCGAUAAUAUUUACAUUAUUACAAAGGCGCUUCAGGCCUGGCAAUCAAAAAUAAACAGCAGCGGACUAGCGGGCCUACGGCUCCAACUUCGCAGGCGCUCAACUGGGGUAUAAGCCAGGACUCCACCUAAGACAUCUUCUCCAAAGCUUCUCUUACUGAAGGGGGAAAAGAUUGAGCAAGAAUGAGUACAACCACAGUACUCAGCAAGCCACACCGGCAGAUGCAUGAUUAAUGCAAGGGGGUACAAGGGGUAAUAAUAUAGGGGUUAAGCUUUGCAGAAAACAGCAUUUAAAAGUCACUUAGUUGCCCAAAGCCAUUUUAUAAAGACGAUCCUAGAGCUACACAGUAGUAUUAAUCAAGGCCGUGAACCCACACGAACCUGCCUUAACCCAAGGCCUACGAUGAUUCAGACCGAACUGGCAACCCGACCCUGGGUCCCAGCUCGUCCCAAGCCAACCCAGGCCAACCAUUCCACAUUUUAGUUGUUAAGCCAAAUUUUAAGAAUUAAAACACUAACUUGGGUACAUUGCUCGGCUUGCCCAUAACCAAGGGCGCGGCUAUUCGAAUAGAUUAUACUCUGAUCAGAGGUGUACAUCUUUACCCACAAGACACAUCUUCCUCACGUGUAACCACGUGCCACAUACCACCACGGUAUACAGACGAAAGACGUGACAUAGUUUCCAACCCAUCCUAGCCAUAGACAAGAGUACCGACCCAACCCCACCUACGGCCGGAACCUCCGGGACAGGUAGGCAGGAUAGAGCCCCUAGCAGCAGGACACCAGCCCUGUGCCAUGACAUCUCGACUACCGGGCCGCAGCUCGUGUAGCCUUCAUUUGUCCUAGAGAUGUCCAUCGACCCCCUACUUCGUCCAUCUCUAAUCCGUGUACUUUUGUUUAUAACCAGACUGAGCCACAAACUAAGCCUUACCCACUAGACAUGUGGAAGUACGGUAGUACUUUGCAACAGAGGCCCGAAGACCGGUCCUUAUAUGGCUGAGGUGCUACUAUCAAAACCAUGCACCCCGAGCCCAGCCUAAAACCAUUUUGGGGAUUUUGAAUAGAGGGGGCGGUGUGAAGCCGAUUCCACAAUAACCAAACCAUUCCAUAGUGUCCAGGUGAUGAGAAUAUCCCAAAGUCUAGAGUUGUAAAACCACCUAAUGUUACCUAAUUAAACAGCGAAGCAUCUACCUAAAAUCAUACUAGUGGUACCAUGAGUAGAGUAUCCACUAGUUGGGGUUUUGUUUAAUCUAGGGUGAACAAGGUAAUAAUAACAAUAACAAUAAUAAUAAGGUCAUAACAAAGGUAAAUAGGUAUGGCUAAAUAAAACAGUGAUAACGCGGGAAUUUAAAUAAAGCGACAAUGCAAUAAUUUAAAUCAAAAUAAUUUUAUAAACUGGGGUUCAAUCUGUUCGAGGAUGAUGUGACUUGCCUUGCUCGCUUUCCCAAACGUCGGCUUCAACUUCCACGAAGAGCGGAUCUUCCGAAGCUGCUGCGUCUACACGACCAACGGAAAAGAAAAGGCUUUUACUCGACUAAACUCCAUAUAACAAGCAGAAACAAAGCACAAAAAUGGGUUCUUGACUUCUUAAGGAAAAAUUAGAGACUUGAACGGUCCAAUUCCGAGUUCAAAUGGCUAAGUUAUGGCCAUUUGAAGUUUAUAUGCUCUUUAAAUGGAUAUUUGCGAAUUUCUUCAUUUAAAUUUUAAUUUAAAAUCGGAUUUAUUGCGUCAGCCGAGGGGAGGGGCGCGCGGACCGGGUCCACGGGAGUGGGGCCCACGCGGCAGCCCCACGGUCCACGGUGGACCGGGUGCACCCGGCUCACACCGGCCGGCGCCGGGGGUCCCACGCGUCAGCCGCACCCGAGGGCGCGGGCGGCUGACGGCCGGGCCCCACGCGGCAGCCACUCGGCGCGCCCGAGGGCGGCCAAGCCAGCGCGGCCGGCGGGAGGCAGCGCGCCCGCGCCCCGAUGGUCGCCGCCGGCGGCCACCGGCGCGGCGGAGUGGCGCCCGAGAGAGGGGAGGGAAGGGGGAAGCGAAACGGCGGCCAACGGCUCACCCCGGGUCGACGGCGACGACGGGAAUGGCGACCGAAGCGGAGAGAGGCGGCGGCGCGGCUCGGGUCGACGAGGACGGCGGCGUUCCGGCGGUCGGCGGGCGAAACGAAGGGGUAGACGAGAUCGGCGAGGACGCGGCGAUGCCGAAGCAGGCGAUGCCGAAGCGGGAGGAGGUCCGAGGCGACGACGGCGGCGGACCGGAGCUCGGCGGCGACGGCGGAGAGAGAGGACGACGGCGCGAGCUCGAUUCCGACGGGGAGAAAGAGCGGCGAGUGGCGGAAACGGAGGAGGGAGGCACGGGGAGGGUUUAAAUAGAGCCGGGGCGAGGGAGGGUGGCCGGGGAAGGGAGGAAACCGGCGCGGGAGGUCGGCCGCCAUCAAUGGCGCCGGCGAGAUUAGGGGAGCGGUUUCCAACCGAAUCCGAGGGAGAGAGGGAGAGAAAAAUGGGGGGAAAGAGAGAGGGAAUCACGGGGAGUGAUUUCCCCCUCUUUAUUGCGCGCGUGGACGGCGGGAGGCGGCGGGAUUCGCGGCGGCGGCGGCGCUAGGGCAUGGGCGAGGCGGCGGGAGCGGCGGGAGGACAGGGAUGACAGGUGGGCCCCACCCGUCAACGAGGGUGGCGGGCGGGCCCACCCGUCAGCGGCACGCGCGCGGGGAGGAGGCCGGAUGGGCCGCGGGGAAGAGGAGAGAGAGAGAAAGGGAUGGGCCGAGCCGGCCCAAGAGGGGAAAAAAGGGGGGAAAAGACUUUUUAGGGUUUUUCUUUUUAUAAAAUCAUUUUAACUUUGUUUAUUUCUUAAUAAUUAUUAUUUGUGCUCUGAAAAUUCCACUAAAAUUUGAGGGCUCCUUUUAGACCAAGGAGAAUUUAACAAAAAUUCUCCGGGUCACAUUUGAAUUUUUCUUGUACGUAUUUUAAUGUUUGCCAAUUUCUUUUCGAAUUUUAAUUAAUUCUAUUAUUCCUUUUAGAGAAUGAUUUUUAUUUCGGGAUGAAUUUAUCAGGACGUGACAAGAACGAUCGAACGAAUUAACGUGAACGAGAACGACAACGAACGUGAACGAGAACGAACGUGAAUGAGAACGAGCGAACGAACGUGAACGAGCUAGGGAACGUGAACGAGCGAACGAACGUGAACGAACGUGAAUGUGAAAUGCAAUAUAUAUAUGUUACUUCGCAUUUAUCCUAAUACAUAUUUUUUGUAUCUUGCAGAAAAGACGUGUUGUCGGAGUGAUCCCUCAAGCCGGAGUGGAAGAGCUAGCCCUAGAAGGAAUUCGUGCAGGCAAGUGACGUAAUAAUAUAAAUGAUUGUUAUAUUUGUAAUGCACUCAAAUAAUAUUAGACUUGUAAUUAGACUUAGCAUAUAAGAUUGUAUAGUGUUCUAAUAUUAUUUGAGUUUUAAUAUAAGAUUAUUUUAUUGCAAAUUAGACUUAGUAUGUAAUUAUUGACUACGGAAUUGGUGCGACUCCUAGCAAUUGACUAUUGUAGUCUUAAUUAGACUUAGCAUAUACGCACGAAACACUUAGCAUACAUGACUAUUUUAGUCUUAGCAUGUAAUAUUAUUUGAGUUUUAAUAUAAGAUUAUUUUAUUUGUAAUUAGACUUAGUAUAUAAUUAUUUACUAGCUAGGGUUGUAUAAUAUACGUCACCUAGACUUAGCUUAUAUCACGAUUUGUAAUUAGACUUAGCACGUAAGGUUGUGUAGGGUUCUAAUGUACGACAUUUACACUUAGCAUACAUGACUUAGAUUGUUAAAACAUAAAUGUCUCGUGACUUAGCAGAUGUUUCUUGUAUCAACAGAUGGCUGACCGCGAUGAGGAACAGAUAUUGUACGAUACAAUCGCGGAGGGAAGUAGCCAGUACUGGAAUGAAGAAGAGGGGAACGAGGAUCCAAACCAGUACUUGAACGAGGAAGGGAACGUGGAGAGGGAUGCGGAGGGGAACCAGCAGGGGCACGUGGAAAGGGAUGUGGAGGGGAACCAGGAGGAGGAGGCUAGUGGUAGUCAACCCUCCGUUGGACAGAAGAGGGCACGCGGGCAACGAGGUGCAGCGAAGAAGCUUGAGGGUCGGCACAUCAUAACGGAAGUGGAAGAAGAUGGACGUCCUAGUGCCCCGGCCGAAGCCGCCAAGAACUAUGUACGUCACAGCGGUUGGGUUGUGCGGGAUAACGUGCCUGUCAGUACGGUGUACUGGCGAAGAACAAGGGCACGCGGAGAUCAUGAGAGCUUUGUCCCAGAUUCGGAGAAAGAGAUGCUGUGGACCACAAUGCUCGAGACAUUCACCCUUCCUGCGGGUAUAGAGGACAAAGUGAAAAGGUGGACUCUGAAGAAAAUGGCAGAACAGUUUCAGAGCUUCAAGGGAGAGUUGUACAAGAAAUAUAUCCUGAAGGGGCAGACACCGAACUUCGACACAUUCCCAAAGCUAAGGGAUCACUGGGACGAGUUUGUUGCAUAUAAGACAGGUGAACAAGGGCAGGCGAUGAUGGAAAGAAACAAAGAAAAUGCCGCCAAGAAGAUGUACCAUCACCACUUGGGGUCAGGAGGCUAUAGCGUCGCGAUGCUGAAGUGGGAGGAGAUGGAGGCUAGCUUGAUUGAGAGGGGUAUCGAACCGGCAACCGCCAAUUGGCCGGAACGAUCGAAGUUCUGGUACUAUGCUCACGGUGGAACGCUCAACCCAGCUGAUGGCUCACUGGUCUUCGGCGAUCAGAUACGAGAGGCUGCGCGAUGACUAACAGAUGCAGUGGAAGCCUCCUCUCAGGGCACGUUCCGACCGGACAGAGAUAGGGACGAGCUGACACUCGCCCUGCAGACUCCAGAGCAUCCAGGACGAACACGAGGGAAAGGGGUGAUUCCUUGGAAGAUUGGUUUCAAGGAAGACAUCCACACGCACAGGAGUCGGAUGAGGAGCAAGAGAGAUACCGAGGCGAAGAUUGCAGAUCUAGAGUUCCGGGUAUCGAGCUACGACCUCAGCAUGCAAGAGGAGGUGGCAAGGAAGGUUGAUGAACGCAUGGCCGCACAUCGGUCCCAUGAUCCCCAGCCGACCAUUCCUCCUGCAAUGGUGAGCCCGUCAGGAAACCGUAGCAGCUGCGCCUCAACGGGGCAGGUAAGAUCACAGAGCAUGGACGCCAUGCAAACACAGGACGAAUCGACCUGUCUCGUUGAUGACAUCACUCAGCGGACACCAUGUGAGCUGCAUAUUCCUUACAAGAACUUAUCAAUAAAGGUAAGCUCGUAGUUUAUAUAUUUUAGAUUUAGCCAUUCCGCUAGUUGCUGCUUAUAUAUGUUGAUUACUAAUAAAUAAUCUCUCACAACAUGAAGGUGGUGUCAGGCAUGGCCAUCCCAACGGACCCUUCAGGUACUUACCACAGCAGGCCGAUUCCAGCAGGAUACUCGAAGGUCGAAGUUGAGUUGGUCGAAGGCGCGUACGAGGACCUCGAGCUGGAUUACCCUGGAGGAGACGGUGAGACGCAUCUACGAGACACAAGCCAUGCCAUUAUUCUAUGGCGCAGGCGGUACAUCAUCCUCCCUGGGCGACAAGCGGCGUCUCGUGUACCAUCUCCUCCGGCUCCGCCAUCUCCUCCUCAGGAUCCUGCACCGUCUCCUCCUCAUGCUCCGCCAGCACCGUCUCCACCUCAGGCUCCAGCACCGACUCCUCCUCAGGAUCCUGCACCGACUCCUCCUCGGGCUCCUACACCUACUCCUCCGCAAGCUCCUCUUCCGGCACCUUCAAAGUCAAGGGCCCCCCAGCUCCACCGCCUGCCCACACAAGGGCAACGAAGAAGGCAAAAGUUGACGCCGCCAAGAACAAGGACCCGGGGUACGAUUGCACGCAAGAGGAGCUUGACGCUUACGUUGCAUCAGAAGUCAAGAGACAAUUCAAGCCUCGAAGUCCAGAAAAGAAGAUUCCUGUAGACCCCAGUGUCAGGAACUUCUUCAGGGGUAUGUCUGCACCUGUCAAGGAGGCCAUCAAGCUAUCAGACUAUGAGCGAACGCUGAAGAAAGCAUCUUCUGGAAAGUCCAAACCAGUCCCUCAGCUUGGAGAGCAACCAAACCAGGAGAUCAAGCCGUUGGUGACCGGGGAAGACAUGACGAUAGAAGAAUUUAUUAUUGACACCAGUCUAACUACGGAUCAAUUGCUAGGAGUUGAACCAUUAGAAAAGGCGGAAUUGAAAGACAUGUACAAACUCGGUAAACCGCUUGUCAAGCCCGAGCUGGUGCAGUCCCUACCCACACAAAUGUACAAGUUCCAUCAGUUGUACAUGGAGAUGAGCGCCACCGGUAGAGAGAUGAUCGGAGCGAGGAUCAGGGACCCGGACUUCUUGCAAGGAGAUGAUAUUCUCUGGAUCAAUUUCAAGGGAAUCUAUCAAGUAUACCAGCUGGACGCCCUCGACGUCUCUAUUAUGAGUUGCUGGAUUUUGUAAGUAUAUCGUUCAGUUAUAUUUCUUAAUUACUACGUCUCCUUUAUUUAAUUAGGUCCUUGUAUAUAAGUAAACUAUAUAAAAUAAAAUACUCCCUUUUAUCGUUGUAGAAUGGAGAUUCAAAGGGCCCGACGGCGGAGGGUUUUCGAUACUGAAUUCAUCGACCCUCGGAGAGUAAACGUCGCAAUGCUCGACCAAUAUCCACAAGAAACAGAGGACAAUCUCGUCCAUCUCCUGAAGGCACAGCAUUACAAGACGUUCAUACUGUUGCCGUACAACACAGAGUUAGUUUAAUUUUACUGUCUUCCUACAUACCAAAUUUCAUUCCCGUACGAACUUGCUAAGUGUUUCAUAUGUAAUGCAUCCCACGCACAUUGCAGAUUCCACUGGGUGCUUUUACUCUUCGACCUGUCGGCUUGCACCGUCAACGUAUAUGACUCAAUGGAUAAAAAAGAGUCUACGUUUGACAAGGUUUUCGAACUUAUAGACAGGUACUGGCAUAAGUUCCUCUGUUAAUUAAGAAAUUCUUGUUAUGUUAAUUAUUUCUACUACGAAUCAUAUCUUUAAACUCCAUGUAGGGCUUGGUAUCGGUUCCGUCAUUUGGUCCGCGGCAACUGGAGAGAAAGACUUAGGCGGAGGUUCAAAUUUCCUGUGAGUACACAUGCUCUACAUUUAUAUUUCUCCGAUUCAAAUUAAUACAUACAAGUGUAUAUUAAUUAGAUCUCACGCCGUUAAUUUGUCAUUUAUUGGUAGUGCGCAAAGCAAAAGCAGGGAACUAACUUGUGCGGCUACUACGUGUGCGAGUAUUGCCACUGCCUUGCAGACCAAAUCAUCACCACAAGAGAGCUCGAUGUACGUACAAAUAAAUUCAAAAUUUCAUUACGUAACGAUUUCUUGUUUAAUUACUAAUCAAUUUCAUACAUUCAUAUAGUUUAUUCGCAUGAGGGAUAACCUGACCACACACAAGGAAUUUAUCACGGCGGUUCAAGAAUAACUCAUGGGAUUCAUCAACGAAGAAAUCCUUGAUCCCAAGGGUGAAUUCUACUACGACGGAAACACAAUUCACCGGUCCUUAGCUUCUGAGCUAGCAGCGAGUACUACUACGUCGAAAUCGUAGCUUGCUAGGACAUAUAAUGGAUUGUAAUUAAUACAUGACUACAUAUGUUUCUAUAUGCAUGUGUACACAUUUUCUAUAAUGUAAAUAUAUUUUGGUCAUAUAUAUAUAUAUAUAUAUAUAUAUAUAUAUAUAUAUAUAUAUGUAUAUAUAUAUAUAUAUAUAUAUACAUAUGCAUUUGCAUAACAUAUAUAUGUAUAAAUACAUAUAUAUUAUGCAUGUACAUAUGUACUGAACCAUAUAUACAUAUAAUAUAAUAUAAUAUAAUAUAUAUAUAUAUGCAUAUAUAUGUAUUGAAACAUAUAUAUGCAUGGUUUAUAUAUAUAUAUAUAUAAACCAUGCAGCAACAGGGCCAUGCAAAAAAAAAAGGUCAGCUCGAUCUUUAGUCCUAGUUGGUAACACCAACCGGGACUAAAGAUGGCUCAGCCGGCCACGUGGCUGAGCCAUCUUUAGUCCCGGUUGGUGUUACCAACCGGGACUAAAGAUCGCUAUCUUUAGUCCCGGAUUGCUACUCCCGGUUUGGAAACCGGCACUAAAGGGGGUUAUAAACCGGGACUACAAAGGGUUUCUCCACCAGUGUAAGAGCCAUAUACCUGUGCAACAUACUCCAUUAUAUUACUUCUACACAAACCCAACACUAUCUUACUCUCACCUACUCCCUCCGAUUCUAUAAUAAUUGAUGUUUUGAACAAGGCCUAGGUUGAGAUCAAACUUUUAUAACUUUGACCAUCAAUAACUUUAAAAAUAUUUAGUUUAAAGAAACUAGAACAACAUAUAUAGAUUUGUCAUUCAAAGCACUAUAAUAAAAGUAAACAUGUAUGUAUUUAUUUAUUGUAUCACUAAAAAAAAGCUUUAUAUAGAGGUUCUUUUGUAGAGACAAACUCUAGACACACUUUUUAGAGGCACUUUUUACUUGAUAUAUCGCCUAAAAUAUUUUUACUCUAGAUACACUUUAGAGACAUUUUUAGCAUACUUUGUUAAAUUUAUCUUGUAGAGACAUUUUUUCGGCACUUUAAAAUUUGCCUCAUAUGUAAAGUCAUUUUCUUAAGGCAUUUAAAACGAUGUAAAGGCAUUUUUCUGAAUAUUAAUAUAUAUCAAGUAAAUAGAUAUAAGUAACACAAAUCACUUAUUUAAAUGCAAUUAUAUGAGGUUGAGAUGGUUAGUGCAUUAAAGAUAAUAAAAAUCACCAACUCAAGAGGUCAUGAGUUCAAGAAUUGUUAAUGGGAUAAUAUUUUUAAAUUUUUAAUAUUGAUUUGCUAUAGUUGCCGCAUAAUUUAAUGCCACUACAAAGUGCUUCUAUUUGUAAAGAGACAUCUUAUAAAAUGCUUCUUCGUUCGUAGAGACAAUUCACCAAAAGGCAUUUACGAGACACUCUUCAAAAUGUCUCUAUAACAUUGUAAAGGCAUUUUAAAAAUGUCUCUUUAGUAUUAGGAAAAUGUCUCUACAAGGCAUAUUUUGUUGUAGUGUAUAUAUUAUAAUAGAAAAAUAAGGUCAAUGUGUUGAUGUAAAAACACAAGGCCUGGGAGAUCUGCUUAACUCCAGUGCAGGUCCAAAGCUUGCCUUUAGGUGUAUAAGCGUGCCAGUUGAUUUGAUCCUGCAAUCAACAAGAAACAGAGACAAAGAAACCGCGGUUAAAUCCAUAAACGAUAGCCGAUCGGCUAGUUGCCGAUGACAUAUCAUUUAUCUCGAAGCCGAUGUCAUAUGUGAAUCGAUCGGCAAAUAUGAAUAAGUAAGAAAGAACUAAAUCUACUCGAUCGGCUGUAGAUAUUAACAAUAUAUAGUCCUUAUACGACGCAGAAUGGCGACUCUCUUCUCUGGCGACGUCCAUGGCGACUCUCCCUAGGAGAUGGUCACGCCGGCGCCACCUACUGGAUGGGAUUUCUCCCCGGGGGAUUCCAUCCGCGAUGAAGUUUGGAGCCGUUUUGGUUCACCGGUGCACUAUUCCUCUCACUUUAGCCGUUCUCCUUUUCGAUUAGUGGUUGAUGUUCCUCGUUCUUCGUUUUGAUUGACCUCGUCCUCCGUGGCGCUUGCUCUUAGAGGGGCGAUUGGUGGUUCUCCGUCUGAUCUUCAAGUUGAUCCUUUGGUUGAUCGAAGUUUUACUUUUGUGGUGUGUUCUAAGAAAGUUGGACUCUGGAUCUACUCUCUCAGAUCCUUUUCCUGUAAGGAUUUCUCGGUUCGGUUUUUUCUCUGGAAGAAUGGAGGUCCUGAUUGGAGACGGAAAUGGGAUCUCUGGCAAGCUGAGCAAGAUAAUGAAUGGACCAUUGUAAAGCGGCGAUCUUCUUCGGGUAAUCGUUCUCAGCAUUUGAUAAAGGCUUCUUCUGUUUUUGAUCGUCUUAAGUUAGAUAUUCCAUCAUCUCUGAAGAAGAUUGUUCAGAAGUCUGAUUCUAUUGCCUCCAAGGAAAUUGUUCUUGCUAAUUCUGAUCCAAAAGGUACGCAUCUUAAUUGUGAUAAGCGGAAUUCUUCCUUUUCAAAUUUGAACCGAUCUGGGCUGGUUUGUUUUUGGUGUUUGGGCUCUGAUCACCUCAUCCGGGACUGCUGCUCGGAGGUUAGAAGUUUACAUUGUAAAAGUCUGGGCCAUAUUAAAAAGUUUUGCCCUUCUGCUGGGCCUGUUAAGUCUCCAUGGCCCAAUAAAGUGGUGUCUGCUAGGGGCUUGGGAAAAAAAUGUCUGUCCCAAAAAAGAAGGAGCAACCUUUGCACACUAAAACUCCACCUAAUCAGGUCUAGGUUAAAAAAAAUAAGAAACCCCCUUCGUCUUCUCCGGAAGUUGCUCGCUCUCUAGUAGUGGCGUCAGAAUCGCAGCCUCAACCUAAUCCUUCCCCUGCUCCAAUGGCUAAUACUAACCCUAAUCCCCAUCGCUUCCUGCGUGCAGGCCAAGUGGUACAUCAAGGUGGUGAUCGUGUGCCAAGAAUCGACCUCUCUGCUGCUACCAAGCCGCCAAGGUCUCACGAAGAGUAUGCCAUUGCUUUGGUUGAGCCGAUCUUGCCGGAGGAACUUUGGGAUGAUCAUCGGAUUCUAAUUUCUGAAUACAUUGAGCAGGUGCAGCACUUUACUGUUCGCCGUAGUUUUCCUCAUGCUUCAGCUGUGGGUUUGUUCAAGUUUGGUUCUGCCAUGGUUAGGGACCUGCUAGUUUAUGCACCCCCUUUUAUGUAUGAUGGUAUACACUAGGUCCAAUUUGUCAGACAUGAUCAGGGUCCUAACUGGCGUGCUGCUCCAUUUACUAGAACUGGCUGGUUUUUAUUGCUUGAUUUCCCCCUAGAUUACAUCAACAUGCAGUACAUUUGUCUGGUUGUCUCUUCUUUUGGGCAGUUGGAGAAAUGGUACGAAAAUGACCCAAUAGAGGGCAGAGUUCUGGUCAGAGCUAUGUUCAAGGACUUUGAUUCAGUCCCGAGGAAAAUUGUUCUUCAAGAUCCCACAAGGGGUGCUGGUGAAUCUUGGACCAUCUCUGUUUUUACCUUGGAGGGUGAUUUUGCUGAUAUUUUUCCCCCUGAUGAAGAUCUUCCCCCAUGCUGGUCCAAAUAAUGAUGAAAACCCUGAUGGUAAUGAUGAUGGUGAUGGUAAUCAGGAUAACAUUUGGCAAUUUGGCUCACAUCCUGUGGUUCUUGCAGAAGAAGACCAAGCUUGGAAUCAGGCUGUUGUGGGCCAUCAGGCCAUGGACCUUGAACAAGCUGCUCCCGAGAACAUGGGCCAGACUGAUAACAACCAUGGCUGGAAUCUGGUUGCUAACAGAGGUUUAAUUUUCACCCUUGCUGAUGCUUUCAAAGAUGCCUUCAAUUCCUGGUCUGCCAACUCUCUGGCAAAUUCAGCCCUUCAUCCUACAAGGCUUAAUUUUAAUUUGGAAAAUGAAAUUGUGCCCUAUGAUUCUAUUUCUUUUGAAUCUUCUGCUAUAAUCCUGAGCCCAGAACCUCUAGCUGUCAUCCCUCCGCAGGCUGUGAUGCCUGUUUUGCCUGAGGAUCCUUUUGGCUCAAUGGAGGAACAUUCUUGUCCUUCUACUCCAACAGGCAUGGAAAUAGAGAUUAGUCUUCCACCUUCCCCUAGGAAAAGAGGGAAGAAGAGAACACCUUUUGUUGACUCUCAAGUUAGAAGGAGUGGUAGACUGCUGGCUCUUAGGGAUGGUUUCAAGAAGACUCUGCAAGAGGAUCCAAACAUGGGUGUUGGAAACCCAAGAGGGAAGGCAGUUAAAAAGCUGAAACAGUUGGCUGAGGCAAGUGGAAUUGUUUUCCCAUCUGAUUCUUUAUCUUCUACUGAUUUAAAUCCUGAUAUAUCUUAUGAAUUUGAAAGUGAUCUUACAUCUGUUAUACCUGCUGAUUGUGAUAUAUCUUUGCUCCAGAAGAUUGGAUCUGAGAUGUGUGGGACUUUCUUUGAGGAGGUUUCAAGCUUGGUGGACUUGGGAGAAGCUCAGGUCAUCAAGCCGAAAGCCAUUGGACCAUCCAAUGAUGAAGCCUAGUUUUGUUAGACUUUUAGGGCUGCUAGUGGCACUCUUUAGGGGCAUGUGUACAUCCCUUUAUCAGCCCUUCUAUUUUGUGUUUAAGUUAUGUAAACUCUAUGAUGGUACUAUGUGUUGGUGUGCUUGGGAACUGCAUGGAUUAUUCCUGCUUGUUAUCUUUCUCUCUUUAAGACUAGUUGUCAAAUGAAUUCGGCUAUGAGAAAUUGGAAUGUCCUCUGCUGGAAUGUUAGGGGUCUGAAUUCUGAUGACAAAUGGUUAGCCAUUAGAAAUAAAAUUGAGGAAAGUGGUUGUGCUAUUCUUUUGCCUUCAGGAAACAAAAAGAUCUUCUUUUGAUCAUUCUUACAUAAAGAAGUUUGCUCCCAAACGUUUUGAUAAGUUUGCUUUCUCUCCAUCUGUUGGAGCUUCUGGUGGUAUUUUAGUUGGCUGGAACAGUUUUGGGGGAUCAGAUAUUGUAAUUGAAAGGUUUGCUGUUAAGAUUACUUUCACCUCAAAUCAUUCUAGUGUGGUUUGGACUUUAGUUUCAGUUUACGGUCCCUGCACUGGUCCUGAAAGAAAUAACUUCCUGUCCUGGCUCCACCAGUUGAAUAUUCCUGAUGAUGACCUCUGGCUCAUUCUUGGUGACUUUAACUUCUAUAGAUCAGUUACAAAUAGAAAUAGGCCGGGUGCAGACAUGAAUGACAUUUUCCUAUUUAAUGCAAUGAUCAGUGAUCUGGGUCUAGUUGAGCUGCCCCUGAAGGGAAGGGCUUUCACUUGGAGUAACAUGCAGCAUAGUCCUCUACUAGAGCAAUUGGAUUGAUUUUUUACCUCUACUGCUUGGAUCUUAACCUUCCCCCAUACCCUAGUAAAGCCACUUGCUCGGUCUACUUUAGAUCACACACCUUGUAUUGUGCAAAUUGGAACUGACAUCCCCAAGGCUGACAUCUUCAGAUUUGAAAAUUUUUGGGUAGAGCAUGAUGGUUUCUUUGAUUUAGUUCAAUCCAUUUGGCAAAAUCAUGGGUAUGAAAGUAAUGCAGCCAAGAAAAUUUCUGUUAAAUUGAAGGCUUUGAGGAAGGGUCUGAAGAAGUGGAGUAAAUCUCUCUCUAAACUUCAAUUGUUGAUUAAGAAUUGUAAUGCUGUCAUAGCUUUUUUGGACUCCAUUGAAAACUUGAGAGAUCUCACUGUUCUUGAAUGGAACUUUAGAAUUCUUAUCAGAAACAAGCUACUGUUAUACCUGAAGUAUAAACAAAUUUAUUGGCAAAAGAGUUGUACUAUCAGAUGGGCCAAGUUUGGGGGUGAGAAUACAAAAUUUUUCCAUGCUAUGGCUACUUAGUCUUAUAGAAGAAAUGCAAUACCCUCUUUAGUAGAUUCUUCUGGUUUAGUCUGUACAGGACAUGAGGAAAAGGCUCACAUAGCAUGGAGUGCUUUCUCUUCAAGAAUGGGUUGUUCUCAGUUUGAGUUCAUGCCUUUUCAGCUGCAAGAACUUUUCCAUGCAAAUCAAUCUCUUGCUUCUUUGGAUCAACCCUUUGGUAUUUUUGAGUUAGACAAAAUUAUACAGAAUCUGCCUAUAGAUAGAGCCCCUGGGCCUGAUGGGUUUAAUGGGAUGUUUGUGAAGAAAUGUUGGCCAAUCAUUUGUCAGGAUUAUUACAGACUUGCAGUUGAGUUCUACUCUGGUACACUGGAUCUGGAUCCUCUAAACCAUUCUUUUAUCAUCUUGGUUCCAAAGAAAUCUGUGCCAGAAGGUAUAAAUGGCUAUAGGCCAAUAUCACUCAUGGGAAUCUCUCUUAAGAUUUUAACAAAAGCCCUGGCUGAUAGACUGCAAAAGGUGAUAUUGGAGAUAAUUAGUCAGAAUCAAUAUGGUUUCAUAAAAGGGAGAACUAUACAGGACUGUCUAGCAUGGAACUUUGAAUUCCUUCAUCAGUGCCAUCACUCCAGAAGGGAAAUAGUCCUUCUAAAAUUGGACUUUGAGAAGGCUUUUGACACUAUUGAGCAUGAAGCUAUUUUGCUUGUAACGAAAGCCAUGGGUUUUAGUGCUACAUGGCUUGGAUGGAUAAGGAAGAUCUUUUCUUCUGCUUCUUCUUCAGUUCUUAUCAAUGGGAUACCUGGAAAGAAUUUCCACUGCAAGAGGGGAGUAAGGCAAGGUGAUCCUCUGUCACCUUUACUCUUUGUUUUAGGAGCUGAACUUCCCCAGGUCAUUGUUAACAGAGCUUAUGCAAUGGGUCUUCUAUCAAAGCCUUUUCCAUCAGACUUUGACCCAAAUUUCCCUAUUGUCCAAUAUGUUGAUGACACCCUACUUUAUUUGAAAGCUAGUGGUAAAGAGCUCUUUACUCUAAAGGUUUUAUUGCAAACUUUCCAGCUGGGAACUGGUUUGAAGGUAAAUUUUAAUAAAUCUUGUCUCAUCCCAAUAAAUGUUGAUGAAGAGAAAGCUCAGAACUUAGCUGCAGUUUUUUGCUGUCAAUUGGAAUCUUUACCUUUUACAUAUUUGGGUUUACCACUUGGUACAACUAAGCCAAAGGUAAUAGAUUUUGCACCUUUAGUUGAUAGAAUUGAAAGAAGGCUUACAUCAAAUGCUUCAUUCAUGUCCUAUGGAGAUAGACUUACACUGGUUAAUUCAGUUUUCUCUUCACUACCUACUUAUUACAUGUGUACUUUAAUGUUGCCAAAGACAGUGAUUGAUAACAUUGACAGAGCAAGAACAUAUUGUCUUUGGAGAGGCUCUGAGGUCAACUCCAAUAAAAGAUCUUUGGCAGCCUGGGAUAAAGUUUGUAAGCCCAAGAGAAAAGGUGGUUUAGGAGUACUAAACCUUACUAUCCAAAAUAAUGCUCUACUCAUCAAAUUUUUGGACAAGUUUUACAAUAAGAAGGAUUUGCCUUGGGUCAAUCUUGUUUGGUCUGCCUAUUAUGGUAACUCUGUCCCUCAUCUAACAAACUUGAAGGGCUCAUUCUGGAGGAGAGAUAUUUGCAAACUGAUUGAUGUCUUUAGAGGUAUUGCAAAGUGUAAUCUGAAAAGUGGAAAUACCUGCUCCUUUUGGUACGAUGUAUGGGAUGAUCAACCCCCUCUUUUUCACACUAUGCCUAGGCUUUGUUCUUUUGCUCAAAACCAGAAUGCAUCUGUCUCUGAUUUUCUGUCCAUUGAGGCUGAAGGAAAUUUUACACUACCUUUAUCUGCUCAAGCUUUUCAAGAGUUUCAAGAGCUCACUUCUUUCCUUCUAGAUAUUGAGCUGGUUAAUGAAAAUGAUGUUUGGUCUUACAUUUGGGGAAAUAUGAAAUAUUCUUCACAGAAAUUCUAUGCACUGAAUUUCAGAGUUAUUAAGCCACCAGUUCAUUUUCUAUGGUUAUGGAAGUGCAAAGUAGUUUCAAAACUAAAGGUUUUUGGGUGGCUACUCAUGAUGAAUAGAUUAAACACCAAUUUCAUGCUAGAUCAUAAGAAUUGUGCUCCUCCAGAUUGUGAUCUUUCUUGUGUUCUCUGUCAAUCGGCAACUGUUGAAGACCUCAUGCAUCUGUUCUUUUUAUGCCUGUUUGCCCAAAAUUGUUGGAGUCUUCUAGGCAUUACAUGGGAUACUACUUUAUCUUUGGAAGCAAUGUUUAUAAGGGCCAAAUUGGAUUAUCAGGGAGCUGUUUCAUGGAGAAAUUCCUUUAUGCUGCUUGGCAUAUAUGGAAGCAAAGAAAUGGGUUCAUUUUUUAGCAAAAGAUCCCUUCUUUCAUCACUUGGAGGCAACUCUUAAAGGGUGACCUCUUCCUUCUGUUGUUUAGAAUUUCUGCGAGAUAUCACGAUGUAAUCAUAAGUUGGAUUAAUGGGUUGUAACUUUGUUCUUGUUUUAUUAAUAAAGUUUUUCUAACAGUGGGGGCCUCCCCUGCUGUGUUCUCUUCAAAAAAAUAUAUAGUCCUUAUGUUGAUAUAUAUACUUAAAUCAAGUGAUUGAGAUAGAUUGGUCGCCAUGCCAAGACAGUAUUGUCGAGGGGUGACCCUCUCUAGCGGGAGGCUGUGAGGCCCCCCUUUUGAGAGUUCGGCCGAGGGCAGUGGGUGAGAUUCGAGGAUUCGGUGAGCGAAGCAGUGUGAUGUUGAGGGGGUCCAGCCCCUCAAAAAUGAUGAGAUCAACAGGGUUUAUACAGGUUCGGGCCGCUAUCGAGCGUAAUACCCUACUCCUUUGUGUGGGAUUUAUAGCAGGAAGUUACACAGGUUCCUAAAUUCCAGGGAGCACUCUCGCUCUUCUUCCCCUUGGAUUUGGGCUAGCUGAAAGUCCUCCCCUUUCUCGGUGGGCAAGGUAUUCCUUUUAUAGCUCAAGGGGAUACCACAUACACCGCUUCUACCUAGCUCCGGUGGAAAAGUGUUUUGCAUUAAAUGCCUGCCUUGUCUCUUGACUUGGGAAGCAAGCGCACGUCACCUUGAUGAUGGGGCAUGUCAAAUCUUGCCGCCUGACACGGGGGGCGCCCAUGCCAGUUACUAUUAAUGGGUGAAGACUUCUGGGUCCCUGUUUGCACCGAGAAACAGGAACCCCAAAUUGACCAGGGCAGAUGGACCAACUCUGGCCAGGAUGAGAGGUUAAGACCUCUCGUCAUCAUGACUGAUGGGACAAGACAGGGUGCACGCCCCCUGACCCAUGCAGUAGUACGCCUGACACCCCGGGUCCCGUCGGUCAUUCGACCAGUCACAGACCAAUUUAGCGCGCGCUGCACGCUACAUUAAAUGCAGCGUGGCGCGCCUACUCAGGUCGCCAUUAAUGCGGGUAGGUGAGCGCUCGAAGGUGGCCACCUAACCCACCGCACGUGGUGACCCGCUGAGGGGGUCGGGGGAGCCCGACCCCUGGUCACAUGAGGGAGUGGCCGCCGCCCCACCUCGGGGGAGGGCCACGUGGGAUUGGGGGGCAGCCUCCUCCAUCUCGUGUUUGGGAAAGAGUGGCCGCCACCCCACCUCAGGCCUGACUCCCCUCGGAGGAGGGCCACGUGGCAUUGGAGGGCAGCCUCCUCCGUCUAGUCUCUGGGAAGGAGUGGCCGCCGCCCCACCUCAGGCCUGACUCCCCUCGGGGGAGGGCCACGUGGCAUUGGGAGGCAGCCUCCUCCAUCUCGUGUCUGGGAAAGAGUGGCCGCCACCCCACCUCGGGCCUGACUCCCCUCGGAGGAGGGCCACGUGGCAUUGGAGGGCAGCCUCCUCCGUCUAGUCUCUGGGAAGGAGUGGCCGCCGCCCCACCUCGGGCCUGACUCCCCUCGGGGGAGGGCCACGUGGCAUUGGGGGGCGGCCUCCUCCCUCUAGUCUUGAGACCCCCAGGCCCAUAUCACCAACAAGUAUAAAUCACUUAGAUAGAAAUAUAUAUUAACAACAAGACUAUAUAUGUUCAUAGCAUAGCCGAUCAGAUAGAUCUAGCAUGUAUCGGCUAAUACUCCGAUACCACUCUAUAUUAAGAUAUCAAAGCAAGCAGAAUAUACCAAACGAAAGCCUAAUAUAUUUAAAUGCAACAAGAUCUUAACAUAAAGGGCAGAUUUAACAUGUCAAUUAAGCAUAUGGGAUAAAAGUAGUUAAAUUAGGUAAGAUCGGCUGAAACCCCGAUACUACCCUAAUCGGCAACCAAAAGCAGGCUAGAGAUUGAGAUUCUAAGCAUGACUCAUAAGAUCAAACUCAACUGAUACAGCUAUAAGUAUGAAAAGAAGGACAAUAUCUAGACAAUCAAGCCGUUAGAUGUUUCAUAGAGUGGUAGAUAUCCUAUAUAAUCUAAGUCAACGUCAAUAUUUAAUCUAAUCGGCUGCCUUCUAGUAACAGAUGUUAGCCGAUUGAAGGUUAGAUAGCGAUAUUGCCAGAGAUUAUAUAAGAUAUAUGAUAACUCGACGAAUUACAUAAACAAGAUUAGAAUAUCAUAAAGAUGGAAGCACUAAUCCCGAGAACGCAAGCCGCCAUAACAAGUUUUACCUCUAGUUGAAGAUUGAAACCGAUGCAGCUCAACACAAAAGCAAGAACUCAUCAAAACAAAACGAAAGUAAAAAGGUGGCGAUGCGCCGAUAUUGUAUUGAACGUGUGUUAGAUUGGUUACAUGGGGCUCGGGGUCAAUUUAUACCCGAGUUUACAAAACAUGUCCAUAUCGGACACGACUCUUAUCUCUAACAAACUCUAAGAUACCAUGUCUUUGCGGCAGACUUUUGCCCAAACAUAUCUCUAAAUAAAUUACAUGAAAUAUCUUAAUUAAUAGAUACAAUUGCCUUCUCAGGACUCUAUCCGUGCGUGGCAAUCCUCAUAAAGCACAUUAACUCAACCCGACAACGUAUGCCUCGUCAUAUUGUCAGAUUUGGCUCAAUCAGCUAACCUUGUCCAACUCGGACUCUGCCGAUCCUGAUCGCAGCCGAUUCGGACUCCAGCCGAUCCUUACCCCGUUUCCGGAACGAUCUCCAUCUCGAACUCCGUUUCGAUUCCUUCUUCAUCUCCGAUACUUACAUUACCAAAUCCGGUCGUUAACACAAUGAUAUAUUUUGUAGACCGUGUCAUUGUCCAAAACGUCAAUCAAAAUGAAACGUGGGGGAGUACUUAAUUAAUCUUAGAGCUGGUGUCUAUUAGAGCUUGUGUGGUGGCUUCCUACAUAAGGAAUAUACCCCCUCCAUCCCAAAUUGAUCAUGUUAUAUGUUUAUACACCUCGCAUCAAUCAAGACAUCAUGCGCAUGCUCUCCCACAAUGCAUGUAUUUUAUCCUAGCAAUGAGAGCAAAUUACCUAGAGCAGCAGGCAAAGUAGCCUGAGAUGCAAUCCAAAAUGCAAACCUGAGGUUUUUUUUUUAAGAAAAGGAAAACAAUCAUAGUACUUAUAUCAUUAUAUGACUUUUAGAGCCUUAUUUUAUAUGAUUUGACCUGAACCUUGGUCACCGGAAUAGCACUGCAUAUGUACUUAUUUUACAAACAGCAUCCAUCAGGGUUAAAAGAACAGAACGUACAAAGGCAUUCACAAUUAGAGUUCAGCACCUUAGUAAUUUAUCUCCAAGCUAGAUUCAGACUCACUGCACUUCACAAUGGUGUUGCAUCCCAAACACUGCUAUGUUGAGAAAGGUUAAAAAUUAAUUAAAAAAGACAAAUCUGGAUAGGAAAUGAAAUGAAAGGUAUGAACUUACAAUUUGGCAGAAGAUCAGUGAUUAAAAGCAUAAAUACAAUCUGGCAAAAGAUGAAGUGAUUAACACACACAAAAAAAUUUUUUGCUAUGGACGAAGAGAAGAGACAUGUCAUGAUCUGAUUGUAUCUCGAUGUAGCAAGAAAAGAUCAGAGCAGCCAGGCAGAAGGAAGAAUUCUUAGAAUGAAUUAAUCAUAUGAGCUUGCAUAGACCACAUAUAAUUGAAAUAUGGCUGUAUGAGAAAACAUCAAACAACAAUCCCCAUAUACAUGUACAGGAUUGACCUACAUGACUUUUAAGUCACCUUGCUAAUGCAAGUAAAUAAUUAAAGAGUAAAGUAAAUGUCAGUGCACAUCUAACCAGAUUGCUAUAUAAAUGCAAUGCCAUACAGCUAUGAGAAUUUCAUGAUUGAUGCAUCACUGCCAUUGUUUACUUUAUAACUCUGUAAAUAGAGCACAAAUGUUAGGCGCAAUGCACUGUUUCGGUUUUCAUCCACACUCCACAGCAGCCAUAUCAUUGCAUAUGCAUUUUGAAACCAAUCAAGAAGCAAAUUAGUUUGAAACUGCAAGAUCAUCCAAGUUAUUUUAUCUAACACAUUGUAGUACUUUUUCCUCAUCAAAUUAAAUAUUUAUUAACAUUUUCCUUCAUUCUAUGUAUAUUGUCAUUAUCAGAUCCUUGCUAUCCUCCCAACAAAUGAAAAUAUUUUUAGAUAAUGGAAGCUUUAUUAAGACUCAGUUAAAUACACCAAGAUGAUACAUUCCAACUGAGUCCACCCCCGGCCUCUGCAUAGAAUGCACACAGCCAAAAAACUAGACCUAAGAAGACUUCCCCAUCACAAAACACAGAAACUAGUGGCUAUCAAUCCGUAGACUAGAUCGCCACACAUGCUCCUGGGUAAAAAACUCAUGUGCCACCUAGUCCAAACGUUGCGAUACCACCGCAAUAGUAUUCCGAAGUCCCGGUUUGUGAAGGAUGGCCCAGGUGCGUAGCCACCGGGUGACUAAAGUAGUAACCUGCAAAGGAGAAGGCACCACCUUGUUAUCAAAAAUUACCCCAUUUCUGCUUAGCCAUAUGGACCAACAAAGAGAUGCUGCACCCAUCAAAAACAGAUUUCUCAUGUCUUUAGGAACACAAGUAAGCCAACACCCAAACAAGUGAGUAAUAUUUUGAGGUUGUAUGUUCGAAGCCAUAUGAACAACAGACCAUAACAAGCGAGAAACACGACAUUGAAAGAACAAAUGUUUAAUGGUCUCUUCCUUGUGACAAAAGCAACAUUUUUUACUACCUUUCUAGUUUCGCUUGGCUAGGUUAUCCUUGGUUAGUAUUACUCCCCGGCGUAAGUACCAAAGGAAAAUAUUUACUUUGAGCGGUACUUUUACAUUCCAAAUACGCCUAUUGAUAUUCGGGACACCUGUAUGGACAAGAGCUAAGUAAUGAGAUUUGACCGAGAAUACCCCAUUGGGGGUGAGAUUCCAGCGAAAUUCAUCUUGCUCAUUUGUCAACACUAAAUCAGCAAUGCGAGGCCACAAAUUAUGCCAAGCAGCUAAUUUUGCUCCUAUUAAAUCUCGUCUCCAUGAAAAGCUUGGAGAAUUGUUUUGAAAGAUUUGUGAGAUAGUCGACUGUUUAUGCCUAGCUAUGUUAUAGAGACAAGGAUAUUGAUCUCUCAACGAGGCAUUACCCAACCACUUAUCUUCCUAAAACCUUAUUUGAGUGCCGUCCCUUAUACGAAAGGACCCAAACCUAAGAAAAUAUUGUUUGGCCUUCAUAACGCCUAUUGAUAUUCGGGACACCUGUAUGGACAAGAGCUAAGUAAUGAGAUUUGACCGAGAAUACCCCAUUGGGGGUGAGAUUCCAGCGAAAUUCAUCUUGCUCAUUUGUCAACACUAAAUCAGCAAUGCGAGGCCACAAAUUAUGCCAAGCAGCUAAUUUUGCUCCUAUUAAAUCUCGUCUCCAUGAAAAGCUUGGAGAAUUGUUUUGAAAGAUUUGUGAGAUAGUCGACUGUUUAUGCCUAGCUAUGUUAUAGAGACAAGGAUAUUGAUCUCUCAACGAGGCAUUACCCAACCACUUAUCUUCCUAAAACCUUAUUUGAGUACCGUCCCUUAUACGAAAGGACCCAAACCUAAGAAAAUAUUGUUUGGCCUUCAUAACGCCUAUUGAUAUUCGGGACACCUGUAUGGACAAGAGCUAAGUAAUGAGAUUUGACCGAGAAUACCCCAUUGGGGGUGAGAUUCCAGUGAAAUUCAUCUUGCUCAUUUGUCAACACUAAAUCAGCAAUGCGAGGCCACAAAUUAUGCCAAGCAGCUAAUUUUGCUCCUAUUAAAUCUCGUCUCCAUGAAAAGCUUGGAGAAUUGUUUUGAAAGAUUUGUGAGAUAGUCGACUGUUUAUGCCUAGCUAUGUUAUAGAGACAAGGAUAUUGAUCUCUCAACGAGGCAUUACCCAACCACUUAUCUUCCUAAAACCUUAUUUGAGUGCCGUCCCUUAUACGAAAGGACCCAAACCUAAGAAAAUAUUGUUUGGCCUUCAUAAGACUAGCCCAAAAAUAUGAGUCUCCCGCUUUCCAAAAAGCCUGAGAUAAAGGUUGUGAUCCCAAAUAUUUAUUACGUAGCAUCUGUUGCCACGUUCCAUCUGUGGUGAGUAAUUUGUAUAGCCACUUGCUAAGCAACGCUAUAUUCUUUACCUCAAGGUCAUGAAUUCCAAGCCCCGGUCAUGAAUUCCAAGCCCCCCUUGAUCUAAGGGACGACAUAUUAUGUCCCACUUAGCAAGCCGGUCUUUCUUCUUAUGUCCAUCCCCUUGCUAAUAAAACCUUGAGCGAAGGUAGUCAAGUUUCUUACGUACCAACAAAUGAAAAUAUUGUACCCAAAGAUUGAACUUUGCUCCACUCCAUUACAACAGAGCUAGCCAAGGAACAAGCAAGCAUUUCAACUAAUUCUUGUUCAAUCGAUCACAUAGGAAGGAGGAAGAGGAACCCACUUACAGGGCGAACUCAACUUGUGAAGUAGAGGGUGGCCGUCUUGCAGUCAUCCCCGCAGCUAUCUCCGGUGGAUGCAGGCGGAUUGAGGGCCGGCACCCGACGACAGUGACUCCGCGCGGAGAGGUGCGGACGUGGGGUGGCCGGCGGCGGGAGGUGUGGCAAGGAGGAGGCACAGCGGGAUGGCCGCCUGUCAUCGGUGGACGGCAUGGGCGGAGGUGCCCCGGAGGUGAACGACUUCAACUAAAAAAGUCAUCAACAACAAAGUUGUAUAAUCCAUCUAGAUCAACAAUUUUUAUUUUGGUCAUUUUUUCAUCCGACAAAGUGAUUUUAACAUUGUUCAAAAUUUUUAUAUAUCUCCCAAAUGGUUUCAUAAAUUAUAAGAGAGAUGUGUAAAUUUUUGUGAACAAUGUUACUAUCACUUUGCCGGAUGAAGAAAUGACCAAAAUAAAAGUUAUAGACAUUGACGAGUUAUACAACUUUGCUGUUGAUGACUUUUUCAGUUAAAAUCAUUUAGUAUUUGAAAAUGUUGUUUGAAGUUGUCAUAAUUUGAAAUUCAAAUUUAAAUUAUUGAAACAAAGUAAUAUAGCAAAAUGACCAGAACAAAAUUUGUAGAUCUUGAUGAGUUAUAAAACUUUGUUGUUGACAAUUUUUUUCAUUUGAAAUCAUUUACUACCCGAAAAAUUAUUUGAAUUGAGAGAAGGAAGGCAAAAUGGACUUCUCGGUGAUAGAGGAGCAAAAGGGCUGGGCUAGCGGCCCGAAGAGGAAAGAGGAGGGAGAGAGUAAUACUUGGGCUGAAAAAGGCCCAAGGAUAGAGAAAGGAAUUUUAAUUUGUUUUCCAUUUAUUUUAACAGGUUAAAUGAACUUUGUGGUAUUAAAAUUUGUUAUUGAGCUCCAAAAAUUCACGGAAAAUUUCAGAGAAUAAUUUAGACCACGUAGAAUAUUAAAAAAAUAUUUCCGGCAAUGAUUUUUAAAGGAAAAUUUUAGUUUCAUCAUUAGUUCACUUGAUUAAAUUGCUUUAACUUUUAAUAUAUUUUUUAGAAAUGCAUUAUAUAAAUCUAUGAUGUUUGCUUUGUUCCCCUUAUGUCAAAUUAAUAUUCGUCAUGAUGUCCCAUUGAAAUACUUUAUGACGAUUUCUAGUUGGUAUUAACAACGAACACCUUCUUUUCGUCACUAAGCCACCCCAUCUCAUACAAAUUGUCAUAAAAUGGAAUGUGCUAAUGACGAAUAGCAUCGUCGUCACGAGGAAUUCGUCACAGAAGAUCACAUUUCUUGUAGUGUUUAAAUUUAAUUUUAGACUGAUUUUUGUGUUUCAAAUGCAAAAAUCAUAAACAACAAAAUUGUAGAACUCAUCGAGAUCUACAACUAUUGUCGUUUUAACAAAUAAGUUCAUUUGAACAAUUCAAAUUUUGAAUUUUCAAAAUUUGACAACUUCGAACAAAAGUUGGGGUUAAUAAAUGAUUUCAAAUUGGAAAGUCACCAAAACCAAAGUUGUAGAACUCAUCGAGAUGCAAAAUUUUUAUUUUGGUCAUUUCUCCAUCUGACUCUAUUUGAAUAAUUUUAAAUUCGAAAUUCAAAGUUUGUGAACUUCAAAUUGAAUUUUUUAUUAGUGAACGACUUCAACUGAAAAAGUCAUCAACAACAAAGUUGUAUAAUCCAUCUAGAUCCACAUUUUUUAUUUUAGUCAUUUCUUCAUCCGAUAAAGUGAUAGUAACAUUGUUUAUAAAUUUUACAUAUCUCACAUAUGGUUUCAUAAAUGAUAAUAGAGAUGUGUAAAUUUUGUGAACAAUGUUACUAUCACUUUAUCGGAUGAAGAAAUGACCAAAAUAAAAGUUAUAGACAUUGAUGAGUUAUAUAACUUUGUUGUUGAUGACUUUUUCAGUUGAAAUCAUUUAGUAUUUGAAAAUGCUGUUUGAAGUUGUCAUAAUUUGAAAUUCAAAUUCAAAUUAUUAAAACAAAGUCAUAUAGCAAAAUGGCCAAAACAAAAGUUGUAGAUCUUGAUAAGUUAUACAACUUUGUUGUUGACAAUUUUUUCAUUUGAAAUCAUUUACUACCCUAAGUUUUAAUAUUUUGAAAUUAAUUGAAAGGAGGGAGGCAAAAUGGACUUCUCAGUGAGGGAGGAGCAAAAGGCCUAGGCCCGUGGCCCGAAGAGGGAGGAGGGGAAGGGGAAGCCGGCCCAAGGAGGGAGAGAGGCUGCGGGCUGAGGGAGGGAGAGAGUAAUACUUGGGCUGAAAAAGGCCCAAGGAGAAAGAGAAGAUUUUAAUUUGUUUUCCAUUUAUUAUAAUAGGUUAAAUGAACUUUGUGGUAUUAAAAUUAGUUAUUGAGCUCCGAAAAUUCACGGAAAAUUUCAAAGAAUAAUUUAGACCACGUAGAAUAUUGGAGGCACCGUAGCCGCAAAGGGGAUAGCACACGCGUGCCCUGAUUUGGGUGUAAACAACGGCUAUAUUGGAGGCCCACACAAACAUGUCUAUUGCAACAUCAGUAAUCAUUGCGAUAUGUACAAGUUAUUGCAACGGGAUCAUGUUCUUGCAAUAAGCGUCUAGUAAUUGCCACGCCUUUGAACAUUAUUACAUCCACAACAAACCGUGACGAUAUGAACAUGCUGUUGCAUCCAGUGGCAUCCGUCGAUGUAAUAUCGAACUCCCUCUUGCAACCCCACCCAAGAGUAAUGCAAUGCAAGAAAACGGUUGCGAUAGUGGCAAACUAAAGCAACGCAACCUUAUGAGGUUGCAAUAUCACAUUUCUUUUGCAACUCCAAGCAUCACUAAUGCAACUCCGAAAUGCCGUGGCAAUACACCCAACCAAUUGCAACACAAAUAGGAAAAUGGUUGCAGCAACCCCAUUCUUUUGCAACUAAAAUCCAUACAUAUCGCAACAAAAAUACGCCGUUGCAUUAUUAUAACAUAUUACCACCAUUUCACGGUUUGGAUGCAAUACAAAACCCUAUUGCAUCCACAUGAGUGCCGUUGCAAGGGGGGACUCGUGGCUAUUGCCCGAUUUCCUAGUAAUGUGUGCUCGCGGUUAUGAGCAGCGUGUGAAUAUAUCAUGAGUUUAGACUUGUGUUUUAUUCUCCCAAAAGCUGAAUUUAAACUUCAAAAUGUGAUGUGAUUUGUGGAUUAUGUCCUUGCUGCCAUGGAAGGCAAUAAGGAGUAUGUGAUUAACAUAUACUUUGAUGCCCAUUUGUUUAGGCCCUGUUUGAUUCAGCUUAGGAUUAUUAUAAUCUGGAUUAUAAGGAAUAAACUGAAACAAACAGAUAGCUUAUUAUGAUUUAAUAAUCUAGUAAUCCACUCUAAAGGUGCUUAUUUUAGAUUAUUGGGUGGCUAACAGCUAACAAACAGCUUAUAAUCCAGAGAAACAAACAGCUCACAGCUUAUUCUAUGUCGGUUUAUUAUAGUUCAGCUUACAGUAAUCUGGCUCAAUAAUCUAGAUUACAAUAAUCUUAAGCUGAAACAAACAGGGCCUAAGUGUAUGCUUGCUGAAAUUUAGUUGAAAAGAAAUCUGAAUUUGAAAAUGGUCUUUGCAAACAAAAUAUGCUUUAUGCUAAAAAUAUCCAAUGUAAGCUUUACUUUGAAUAUGCCAUGCAUGCAUGUAGAGUACUAGAUGAUGGAGCGCGCCAAUGGCGCUCCGCCUGUACACAAUUUUCGUUACACACAAUACGGAUGACUCUGCUACAGUAAUCAAAAAUAUGUACAUUUCAUAUACUAUACAUUUAUACAAGGCUAGGGACCAAAGGAUCAUUCACUUAUUUGUGCUUGACUUAUUGAAGAACGACAUAUACAUACAAAACCUAGAGUCCCAAUGAUAAAACAUGCAAAUAGGUGCUGUUGGUUUUGAAUCCUCCAUUUCCAACCAAUUGGUGUGGUGCCCUGGAUAUUGGAAGGGUCAGCCGGUAUCUCUUACCAAAAACCAAGUAAAAUGGCUACCAGUAAGCAAAAAAAAUAGUAUUUUCACUUACACCUUCAAAUAGCUUGCAGUUUCCCACAAUUAAUUACUCCACCAAUUGUAAAAUAUUUUUCUUAGACGAGGACCAAUUGAAAAAUCCAUCCUGAAGCAACAUAGAUUUCUCGAAGGAGAAUUCAUGAAUAUGAUCUCUUGAGCAAUUUUACUACUACAAUGCGUGAUAGGUGAGCAUUGAUCUACCAGGGAGAAGCCGCAACCCAUUUGCUACAGGUAUUAGAUAUUGCUUGAACGUAAAAAAUACUAUCCCAGAAAUCAUGAUAAGCACCUCAAGAUCAGGACAGCAGUAGAAUAAGGGAUCUCGAGCAACGACUACCAUCACCAACUUCACGGAAGAAAAGAGAAUAAAAGUAAGUAUAUUAGGAAUUAAAUAUAACCCGAAGAGGUUCAACUCUCCAAUCCAGUAAAAACAAAUAUGAUUGAGCACAGCAGAGUAGCACUUCCAGGAAAAAAAAAAUAUGUAGGCAUGCAGUUGUCCU
rnacentral:lncRNA from 1 species